AGAAGAGUUCCUGCUGCCGUAUUGCCCCAAAUUGGAAUCACUACUGCCGCAAAAGAUGAGUUGCCUCACCUCUUUACAACAAUUGUGGGUUCAAAAUUGCCCUAAUCUGAAGGAUUUGCCCGACUGGAUACUCAAUCUCACUUCCCUUAGAAGUCUUCAAAUCAAUGAGUGCCUUGAAUUACAGUCCAUUCCAGAAGGGACGCCUCAGCUUACAUCUUUAGAAGAAUUAUCUGUUCAGAAUUGUCAUAAUUUGAGGGCUUUGCCAGAGUGGAUACUCAAUCUCACUUCCCUUAAAACACUUCGAAUUUGGGAGUGCCUUGAAUUACAGUACAUGCCAAAAGGGACACAUCAGCUUACCUCUUUAAAAGAAUUGUUCGUAGGGAAAUGCCCUAAUCUGAGGGCUUUGCCAGAUUGGAUACUCAAUCUCACUUCCCUUAAAACACUUCGAAUUUGGGAGUGCCUUGAAUUACAGUACAUGCCAAAAGGGACACAUCAGCUUACUUCUUUAAAAGAAUUGUUAGUAGGGAAAUGCCCUAAUCUGAGGGCUUUGCCUGACUGGAUACUCAAUCUCACUUCCCUUACAAAACUUCAUAUUCAGGAGUGCCUUGAAUUACAGUACAUGCCAGAAGGGACGCAUCAGCUUACCUCUUUGAAAGAAUUGUCCAUUGAAAAUUGCCCUCAUCUUAGGGCUUUGCCUGACUGGAUACUCAAUCUCACUUCUCUUGAAACACUUCAAAUUUGGAAUUGCCUUGAAUUACAGUACAUGCCAGUAGGGAUUUCUCGGCUUACAUUCUUAGAAGAAUUAUAUGCUGACCGCCAUAAUUUGAGGGCUUUGCAAGACUGGAUACUCAAUCUCACUUCCCUCAAAGAUCUUUAUAUUUGCGAGUGCCUUGCAUCACCGUACUUGCAAGAAAGGAUGCAUAACCUCACCUCUUUACAACGAAUGAUAGUUGAAUCUUGCCCUAAUCUAAGUUCUUCUAGACAUUCUCUCAAAACACUUCUAAUUCGGGGGUGCCCUGAUAUAUACUCCUGGAGAAUGAGGCAUUCUUUGUCCUCUUUAGAAGAAUUGAAUGUUCAAAAUUGCCCUAAUCUGGGGAAAUUGUUGUAUCGCAUAUCAUUUUUAAUCACUUGCCUCAAAACACUUACGAUUUGUAAGUGCCCUGAAUUACAAAACUUGCAAAUGGUGGAUCGCCUUACCUCUUUACAAGUAUUGUCAAUCAGUGAAUGUCCAAAAUUGUCGGAAAGAUGUGAAAAGGAAACCGGAAUCUUGUGGCCUCACAUUGCUCACAUCCCAUCUAUUAUAAUUGAUGGGCAACAGAUUCAGUGAUGAUCAUACAAUAUAUAGGUAACAAUAUUUUUCUGCACCUCUAUUUAUAUUUUCUCCCUGUACCUGAUAAUUCUUUUUUUUUCUUCCUGGAUUUGGAUGAUUCGUAAUUUGUUGUAUGCAUGUAAUCCAAGUUGACUAUGCGUGUAAUUUGUUUACUCUGCUACUUCUUUCUAAGUGGACUAACAAUAUUGAUUUUUUCUUAUAUAGACAAAUUUAAAAAAAUUACAGCAGUAUGAAUCUACUGAAGUUAUCAAAUUAUUCUGAUUUUUCACUUUGUUAUAUCUAAAUGUCUAUUUUCACCUUUUUCAAUGAUGUUAAUCUGUGUUCAGAGGAUAUUGUUUAGGUUGACCAAAAGUUUGGGUUUUCUGUAAGAGGUUGUCAACAGCUUUUUGUGCAGUGUUGAUGUAAUUGUUCAGUUAUCUUAUCACUAAAGUUAGAAUGCCAAAAGGAGUCUUUAACAUAAGCAUAAAAGGGAGUUGUGGACAGAUUAUUGUCAGUUGUUUCACUUCCCCUGUUUUUAUUCAUUGAUCAAUGCAAAAUUAUCUUUUAUACAAUGAGGCAGCCUUGGAUGUUUGUGUCAUAUCUUUUUAGAAGCAAAACCAAAAUUUAAUGUGAAACACUGGUGAAAUAAGCUGAGAUUUUAUAGGCACUUGCUUUUGUAAGGAAUAUGUUAACAUUAUUUCUUUAUUUUUUACUACGUGUUUAUAAUGGGAUGAUGACAUUUUUUCCAUUGUUUGAAGCAGGAAGAUUUCAUCUUGCCAAUUUCCUUCCAAAGCAGACUGUUGUUGAAUUGAAACCAAGAGAAAUUUCUAUUGGUAAACUUUACCACUUAUUUGGUUUGUUUUACCAAUUUCAUUUACUUUCUAUAAGGAAUCCAUUAACACCCAACUUCUUACUUCUUUCUGCGUGUCUUUAUUGGGAUUAUGGACUUUUUCUGAUAGAUUGAGAGAGUACGAAUUGAUUUCAACUUGCCAAUGCCAUUGUGAAGAAGAGUACUACAAUCCAUGGAUUGGAAGCUUUACUCUCAACAGCGCCAUCACUAUCUAUGUUACAGUUUGAUGGCAAUUCUAUGUGAGAGUUAAAUUUUACUUUUGAGUGUUUGAAUUCAAUAAAGGCUAGCUCGUGAAAAUAAUUUAACAACUUGACCUCUGGUGGCUUUGUAGAUGACAGAAAUUGCACAGCAUGCAACUCUUUCACCUUUUCUUCCCAAGAAGUAAGUGAUCUUGAAUUUAAGGUAAAUUAGCUUAUCACUUAAUGCUCUAUAGAAUUUACUGUGCAUAGAAUGUUGAAUAUUUUUUCAUUGCUAUAACGUUAUAAAAUUUUCAUUUUCUAUAGAAAAAUAAGAGGUAUCAUGACUAGCUCACCAACUCCCUUUCGAGGCAUUCUUGAAAUGCAGGUAUAUUCCCAAAGCAUAUCUAUUGCAGAAGUGAUGACUCCAUAUUAUAGUUUCUUUAGUUUUUGUUCUUGAUCUUUUGCAUAUCUUUAGUUUUUUAGACUAGUUAUUUGUGAAUGAAGGCAAACAACACUUGCUAAGUAGCGGCUCGAGUGAUUGGGAGAAUAGUAUGGAGUUGAGCUGUUUGGAAAACCCCUUUGCUUCUUUCAAAAUCAAUGUCAAUAGUUCCAUAUUGGCCGUUCUUUGAGGUCUUUGAACAGUGGCUUCAAUUCUAGUCUGUAGGCCUUUACUUAAUUAACCCAAACUGUUAAGGGGACCUAAAUACAAAUGUUCUUUCCAAUGUAUAUGGAGAAGACUUUUGGGAUACUGUUCUGGGAUUUACUAUUUGCUACAUUUGGGUGCUGCAAAGUGUCAAAGAAUUGUCAAUCAAAGAAUGUCCCCAAUUGUUGAAAAAAUGUAAAAAAGAGACUGAAAUCUAGUGGCCUCACAUUGCUCUCAUCCUGUCUAUUUAUAUUGAUGGCCAACAGAUUCAAUGAUGAUCAUACAGUACAGGUAACCAUAUUUUUCUUCUCCUCUGUUUAUAUUUUCUCUCUUUAUCUUUUAUUUCCUUCUUUUUUUCUUCCUGGAUUUGAAUGAUUUGUACUUUGUUCUAUACAUGUAAUCCAAGUUGGUAUACCGAUUGCCUAUACUUUGUACAGAUAGCAUACUUAUUGUGAAAGCAUUAAAUUUCAUACUCUUGUACGGAUAAAUUUAAAAAAACAGUAUUAUAAACGUACUUAAGUUACUUAAUUAUUCUGAUUUUUAGUUGUUAUAUCAAUUCCCAACUUCUUCUGUUUAACAUAAACAUAAAAUGGAGUUAUGGACAGAUUAUUGUCAGUUGUUUCACUUUCCCUGUUUUGUGCAUUGAUCAAUGCAAAAUCAUCUCUUAUACAAUGAGGCAACGUUGGAUGUUUGUGUCGUAUCUUUUCAGAAGCAAAACCAAAAUUAAAUAGAAAAGGAUCGCAGGACAGAUAGCUUCUAUCAUAGAGAUUCUAAAUAAUUGAAUAACUGAUGAAAUAAGCUGAGAUGUGAGAGUGAGUAUUCCUGAAAAUUUCAACUAAAAGUUUGUUAGAAUAUCCAGUCAAGACUCCGGAGCUGAAAGCUAGUAAUAAUAGAAACAAAUGUGAAAGUCUGCUUGUACAUUUCCUGCCAUAUUUGUUGUGAUGAGGAGAUAUUGCUAUAGGUAAUAUUUUCGCCUCUUCUUCUUGAUGUUGGCACUUGCUUUUGUAAAGAAUAUAUUAACAUCAGUUCUUUCUUUUUGUAUGUGUUAAUAAUGGGAUGAUGACAUGUUUUCAUUGUUUGAAGUAGGACGAUUUUAUCUUGCUAAUUUCCUUCCAGAGCAAACAGUUGUUGAAAUUUCUAUUGGUAAACUUUACCACUUAUUCGGUUUGUCUUACCAAUUUUAUAUGCUUUCUAUAAGGAAUCUAUUAACACCUAACUUCAUACUUCUUUUUGCAUGUCUUUAUUAGGAUUAUAGACUUUUUCUGAUAGUUUGAGAGAGAACAUGCGGAUUUCAACAUGCCGAUGCCAUUGUGAAGUAGAGUACUAGAAUCGGUAGAUCGAAGGCUUUACUCUCAACAGUGUUAUCACUAUCUAUGUUACAGUUUGAUGGCAAGUCUAUGUGAGAGUUAAAUUUUGCUUUGGGUGUUCAAAUUCAAUAAAGACUAACUGAUGAAAAUAAUUGAAUAGCUUGACGUCUGGUUUCCUUUUAGGUAAAAAAGACUGCACAACAUGCAACUCUUUCACCUUCUUUUCUCAAGAAGUGAGCCUUGGUCUAAUGAUCUUGAAUUCAAGGUUAAUUGGCUUUUCAUUUAUUGCUAUGUUAUAUAUGAGGAAUGUGCUUUGUAUAGAAUCCUCAAUAUUUUUGCAUUGCUCUAACAUUUAAGAUUUUUGUUUUCUAUAGAAAAGAAAGAGAUGCCAAUGACUUGCCUGCCAACUCCCUUCCGGCCAUUUUUGAAAUACAGGUAUUCUCAAAGCAUUUUUUAUGAGGAAUGACUUGCUUUUGUAAAGAAUAUAUUAACAUCGGUUCUUUCUUGUUUGUACGUUAAUGGGAUGAUGACAUUUUUCAUUAUUUGAAGCAGGAUGAUUAUAUCAUGCUAAUUUCCUUCCAGAGCAGACUGUUGUUAAAUUGAAACCAAGAGAAAUUUCUAUUGGUAAAAUUUACCACUUAUUUGGUUUGUUUUAUCAAUUUUAUUUACUUUCUAUAAGGUAUCCAUUAACACCCAACUUCUUACUUCUUUCUGCAUGUCUUUAUUGGGAUUAUGGACUUUUUCUGAUAGAUUGAGAGAGUAAAUAUUGAUUUCAACUUACAAAUGCCAUUGUGAAGAAGAGUGCUACAAUCCAUGGAUUGGAAGCUUUACUCUCAACAGCGUCAUCACUAUCUAUGUUACAGUUUGAUGGAAAUUCUAUGUGAGAGUUAAAUCUACAUUGAGUAUUUGAAUUCAAUAAAGGAUAACUCAUGAAAAUAAUUUAACAGCUUAACCUCUGGUGUCCUUUUAGAUUACAACGAUUGCACAGCAUGCAACUCUUUCACCUUUUCUUCCCAAGAAGUGAGCCUUGGUCUAACGAGCUUGAAUUUAAGGUAAAUUAACUUAUCACUUAUUGCUCUAUAUAAUUUACUGUGCAUAGAAUGUUGAAUAUUUUUUCGCUGCUAUAACGUUAUAAGAUUUUCAUUUUCCAUAGAAAAAUAAGAGGUGUCAUGACUUGGUCACCAACUCCCUUUUAAGGCAUUCUUGAAAUGCAGGUAUAUUCUUGAAGCAUAUCUAUUGCAAAAGUGAUGACUAUAUAUUAUAGUUUCUUUAGUUUUUGUUCUUGAUUUUUUGCAUAUCUUGUUCCUUAAUGCUUGCUUAUAACAAUGGAUUUUUGGACUAGUUAUCUGUGAAUGAUGGCAAACAACACUUGCUAAGUAGUGGCUUGAGUGAUUGGGAGAAUAGUCUGGAGCCGAUCUGGUUGGAAACCCCCUUUGCUUCUUUCAAAAUCAAUGUCAAUAGUUCCAUAUUGGCCAUUCUUGGAGGUCUUUAAACAGUGGCUUCAAUUCUAGUCUGUGGGCCUCUACUCAAUUAACCCAAACUAUUAAGGGGACCUAAAUAGAAAUGUUCUUUCCAAUGUAUAUAGAGAAGACUUUUGCGAUACUGUUCUGGGAUUUACUAUUUGCUACAUUUGGGUGCUGUUAAGUGUCAAAGAAUUCUCAAUCAAAGAACGUUCCCAAUUGCAGGAAAGAUGUAAAAAGAAGACCAGAAUCCAGUGGCCUCAUAUUGCUCUCAUCCUGACUAUUUAUAUUGAUGGCCAACAGAUUCAAUGAUGAUCACACAAUGCAGGUAACCAUAUUUUUCUUUACCUCUGUUUAUAUUUUCUCCCUUUAUUUGAUAAUUCCUUUUUUUUUUCUUCUUGGAUUUGAAUGAUUCGUUCUUUGUUCAAUACAUGGAAUCCAAGUUGGUAUACUGAUUCGCCUACACUGUGUACAGAUAGCAUACUUAUUGUGAAAGCAUUAAUUUCCUUCCAGAGCAGACAGUUGUUGAAUUGAAACCAAGAGAAAUUUUUAAAUAUAUUUAUCUGAAAUAUGUUUAAUGUUUGUUUAACAUUAAAUUGAAAUUUAAUGUUGAAUUGAAAUUUCUAAAUAAAUUUAACAGCAUUAAUUUGACUUUGGAAGAUGCUAGUAUAAGGCCUUUGCAACAAACAUUGAAGAUGACGAUGACCGAGGCUAACAAGACAUCAGAAGAAGCAUCAUCAUCAUCAAGGAGCACAUGUCAUUCAUAUUCUUCGGCUACCCUUCCUCUCUCCAUUUUGAAGCGUCUGAGACUUAAAGGCAUUAAGGAUUUAGAAGAUCUGCUAGAAGAGUUCCUACUGCCGUAUUGCCCUAAAUUGGAAUUGUUACUGCCGCAAAAGAUGAGUUGCCUCACCUUUUUACAACAAUUAUGGGUUGAAAAUUGCCCUAAUUUGAGGGCUUUGCCCGACUGGAUACUCAAUCUCACUUCCCUUAGCAGUCUUCGAAUUAAGGAGUGCCUUGAAUUACAGUCCAUUUCGGAAGGGACGCCUCAGCUUACAUCUUUAGAAGAAUUAUCUGUUCAGAAUUGUCAUAAUUUGAGGGCUUUGCCAGAGUGGAUACUCAAUCUCACUUCCCUUAAAACACUUCAAAUUUGGGGGUGCGUUGAAUUACAGCACAUGCCAAAAGGGACGCAUCAGCUUACCUCUUUAAAAGAAUUGUGGGUAGGGAAAUGCCUUAAUCUGAGGGCUUUGCCAAGCUGGAUACUUAAUCUCACUUCCCUUAAAACACUUGGAAUUUAGGAGUGCCUUGAAUUACAGUACAUGCCAGAAGGGACGCAUCAGCUUACCUCUUUAAAAGAAUUGUCCGUAGGCAAUUGCCCUAAUUUGAGGGCUUUGCCGGAUUGGAUACUCAAUCUCACUUCCCUUACAAACCUUCUAAUUAAGGGGUGCUUUGAAUUACAGUCCACGCCAAAAGGGACGCAUCAGCUUACCUCUUUAAAAGAAUUGUCCAUUGAAAAUUGCCCUCAUCUUAGGGCUUUGCCUGACUGGAUACUCAAUCUCACUUCUCUUGAAACACUUCAAAUUUGGAAUUGCCUUGAAUUACAGUACAUGCCAGAAGGGACGCAUUGGCUUGCAUCUUUAGAAGAAUUAAUUGUUUACUGCCAUAAUUUGAGGGCUUUUCCAGACUGGAUACUUGAAUCUCACUUCCCCAAAGAUCUUUAUAUUUGCGAGUGCCUUGAAUCACCGUACUUGCAAGAAAGGAUGCAUAACCUCACCUCUUUACAACGAAUGAUAGUGGAAUCUUGCCCUAAUCUGAGUUCUUCUAGACAUUCUCUCAAAACACUUCUAAGUCGGGGGUGCCCUGAUUUAUACUCCUGGAGAAUGACGCAUUCUUGGUCCUCUUUAGAAGAAUUGAAUGUUCAAAAUUGCCCUAAUCUAAGGAAAUUGUUGGAUCGCAUACCAUUUUUAAUCCCUUGCCUCAAAACACUUAAGAUUUGUAAGUGCCCUGAAUUACAAGAAUUGCAAAGGAUGGAUCGCCUUACCUCUUUACAAGUAUUGUCAAUCAGUGAAUGUCCAAAAUUGUCGGAAAGAUGUGAAAAGGAAACCGGAAUCCUGUGGCAUCACAUUGCUCACAUCCCAUCUAUUAUAAUUGAUGGGCAACAGAUUCAAUGAUGAUCAUACAAUAUAUAGGUAACUAUAUUUUUCCUCACCUCUAUUUAUAUUUUCUCCCUGUACUUGAUAAUUCUCUUCUUUUCUUCCUGGAUUUGGAUGAUUCGUAAUUUUUUGUAUGCAUGUAAUCCAAGUCGACUAUGCAGAAGUGGAUUUAAUCUACUUCUUUCUAAGUGGACUAACAAUAUUGAUUUUUUUUUCUUUUCUUACUUUGAAUUUUAUUUUUGUUAAGUUAAAUAUUACUACUAUGAAAUGUGACCAAAACUUGAUGUCAAAACUCUGCCAGUAUUUCACUGCCAUUAGGAACUUUUUUCUUGUUUUAAUCUCUCAUUCUUCAAUUAUAAUCCUAAGCAUUUAGGAUCUCACUAGCUCUAGCUGGAACCCUUGUACAGAAAAUCAUAUUUAUAGUCAAAGCAAUAAAUUUUAUACUCUUAUAUAGACAAAUUUUAAAAAAUUACAGCAGUAUGAAUGUACUCAAGUUAUCAAAUUAUUCUGAUUUUUCACUUGUUAAACCUAAAUGUCUAUUUUCACCUAUUUCAAUGAUGUUAAUCUGUGUUUGGAGGAUAUUGUUUAGGUUGACCAAAAGUUUGGGUUUUCUGUAAGAGCUUGUCAAAAGCUUUUUGUGAAGUGUUGAUGUAAUUGUUCAGUUAUCUUAUCACUAGAGUUAGAAUGCCAAAAAGAGUCUUUAACAUAGGCAUAAAAUGGAGUUGGGGACAGAUUAUUGUCAGUUGUUUCACUUCCCCUGUUUUUAUUCAUUGAUCAAUGCAAAACCAUCUCUUAUACAAUGAGGCAAUCUUGGAUGUUUUUGUCAUAUCUUUCAGAAGCAAAACCAAAAUUUAAUGUGAAACACUGGUAAAAUAAGAUGAGAUUUUGUAGGCACUUGCUUUUGUAAGGAAUAUGUUAACAUUAUUUCUUUCUUUUUUUCUACGUGUUUAUAGGGGGAUGAUGACAUGUUUUCAUUAUUUGAAGCAGGACGAUUCAUCUUGCUAAUUUCCUUCCAGAGCAGACAGUUGUUGAAUUGAAACCAAGAGAAAUUUCUAUUGGUAAAAUUUACCACUUUUUCGGUUUGUCUUACCAAUUUCAUAUGCUUUCUAUAAGGAAUCUAUUAACACAUAACUUCAUACUUCCUUUUGCAUGUCUUUAUUAGGAUUAUGGACUUUUUCUGAUAGUUUUAGAGAGAACAUACGGUUUUCAACGUGCCGAUGCCAUUGUGAAGUAGAGUUCUAGAAUCGGUGGAUCGGAGGCUUUACUCUCAACAGUGUCAUCACUAUCUAUGUUACAGUUUGAUGGCAAUUCUAUGUGAGAGUUAAAUUUUGCUUUGAGUGUUCAAAUUCAAUAAAGACUAACUGAUGAAAAUAAUUGAACAGCUUGACCUCUGGUUUCUUUCUAGGUAAAAAAGACUGCACAACAUGCAACUCUUUCACCUUCUUUUCUCAAGAAGUGAACCUUGGUCUAAUGAUCUUGAAUUCGGUUAAUUGGGUUUUCAUUUAUUGCUUGUUAUAUAUGAGGAAUGUGCUUUGUAUAGAAUCCUCAAUAUUUUUGCAUUGCUCUAACAUUUAAGAUUUUUGUUUUCCAUAGAGAAAGAAGAGAUGCCAAUGACUUGCCUGCCAACUCCCUUCCAGCCAUUUUUGAAAUGCAGGUAUUCUCAAAGCAUUAUCCAUUGCAUACAUGAUUCUAUAGGUUAAAGUUUCUUUAGUUUUUGUUCUUAUUUUUUUGCAUAUCUUUAUCCUCAGUGCUUCUUUAUAACAAUGGGUUUUUUGACUAGUUAGCUGUGAAUGGAGUCAACCAACACUUGCUAAGUAGUGGUUCGAGUGAUUGGGAAAACUGCCUGGAGAGCUGAGCUGGUUGGAAAACCCUUUUGCUUCUUUCAAAAUCAAUGUCAAAGUUCCAUCUUGGCCAUUCUUGGAGGUCUUUGAGCAGUGGCUUGAAUUCUAGUCUUUAGGCCUUUACUUAAUUAACCCAAACCGUUAAAGGGACCUAAACACAAAGGUUCUUUCAUAAUGUAGAUAUGGAGAAGACUUUUGGGAUACUACUAUGGGAUUUAAUAUUUGCCACGUUUGGGUGCUGCAACUACUGUAACCUCCUGCAUCAUAGUAAAAUCUCUUUCACCUUCGACCGUGGAUGUAGGUUAUUAAGCCGAACCACGUAAUUUUUCGUGUGUUUUAUUAUGUUAGAUUGUUUGCUUGUUAUUUAUCAUAAAAUUUGGUUCCACAUCUAUAUUUUUUACUAUGUUAUUCAUCAAAGGUAUUGCUUUUUUGACAAGAUAAUGUUAAAGAGUUGUCUUAAAAUCUCUUCAAUCCACCAACAAUGAAUAUAGGUUCAGAUAAAUCACGUAAAUUUUUUAUGUUUUUAUUAUACGUGAUUGUUUAUUUUGUUAUUUACUAUCAAAUUUGGGUUGCUUCGUUCACUAUGACAUUGUAAAAGGCAUUGGUUUAUCCCAAAAUGUAUUAAGUGAAGCUAUCAUAAAUGUUUCAAUUUUAAUUGAUUAAGAAAAGUUAUAAGUUUGAAGUUUCUCAUUUCCAAAAUGGAUUAAUUUUUUGAUAAAUGUCACUACAACUUUGUAAUUGGUAUUAAUUAAAAAUAUUUCCUACCUAAAAUUUGCCAUUAAUUAUAAAUGUUUUGUUUUAAUAAAACACAAAAAGUAAAUAAUCCUCAAUCAUACUUUAUAUUAUAUAACUCGACAUAAGCCAAGGAUCCAUAAAUAUAAUUUUAUAUAAACAGUAAUUUAAUUGUCACUGCAAUAAAAACAUAUAGAAACAGUAAUUCAUCCCUUCAAACGUAUGGUGGUGAAUGCCUUGCUGUCCAACUACUAUAAAGUAAAAGUAGUGGAGUAAUGGAGAUGGAGAUUCCAUAAUAAAGUGUGUUAUCCCCAGAUUUUCUUUUUUAUAAUUUUUUUGAGCUUAGCUUUUCUAAAUGCUGAUGAUCAUUUUUUUAAAGUGGAUUUUUCUCCUUGAAAUGAUGGAUUUAAUUACUUGUUUCCUCCUAAUAAUCACCUCUGAAUAGUAGCUAAAUUUUAUAAUGUAAUUAAUGAUAGUUAUACCGUACCUUUAAUCAAAACGAGAGUGGUGCCCGUAACUACGCUAUGAAAAAGCUUACAGGAAAUAUAAAUUAUGUUAGAAUGGACUUCAAUUUAGUAUCUUCAAAAGAGUUUAUAGAAAAAGCUAUAUUAUAUUAGUCAAUUAUAUAAAUGUAUGGUUUUUGCUGGUAGAAGAAAAGAUAAACCGAUAUUAAUUGAAGAUAAUUAUUUACUUUGGUUUCAAUCACUAAAAGUUGCUCCUAAAUAUAUGGUUUUAAAACAGUACUUAACCAAAGAAGAUAAUAAUCCUAUCAAACAUCCAAUAUUUUUUUCCAUUAAAAAUAUAUUGUUUAAACAAAAUGAAUAGCAUUUGUGAGUUGAAGGUUUUCAUUUUUGUUAGAUGAUAUAUAUCAACUUUCUAGAUACAGGACUUGCACUUUGUUACAUGUUAAGGGAAUAUAAAUUGUUAUACAAUUAUCAUAUAUGUUUAACUAUGGUGACAAUUUGCUCUUCCUUUUGCCGUAUACAUUUGUUUCCAUUUCUUUGAUUUCUGUUGUUGUAUUAUAUUGUAUAAAUUGCAUGGUAGAGGAAAAUAUAAACUAUAAUUAAUUAAAAAUAGUUAUUUGCUUUGGUUUCAAUUACCGAAAACCUGCACUUACAUAUAUAGUUAUAAAACAGUACUUAUCCAAAGAAGACAAUAAUUCUAUCAAAAAUUAUUAAAUGUAUAAUUAAAUAUUAAGAAAUGAGAGAGUAUAUAACCUUCACUAUUGGCAUAUUAAGAUAAAUAGUUGUAGAAUAUAUGACAACACUAUAAUGUAAAAAUCUUAUCAAUAUAAAAUAGUUACUAAAUUCUGGUAGUAUCUAUUUUUUAUAUCUAAAAUAAAUGGUUAAAGGUUAUCAAAUUCAAUUGAUUUAUUUAUUCAAUGAUGACCGUGUGCUAUGUAUAUUGAGAAAUGAGUAGACCUUCUUGGUUUUUAUGUUUUGUUCAAUGGAUUUGAUGGAUAUUUAUUGAAAUUUAAACAUUAAUGUACAAAAGAAAUGUCUAAAUACUAUAGAUUUUCAUUCAUGCAGAAUAAGAGAAUAUAAACAAAAAAUAAUAUUAAAUUGCAAUUGAUAAAUAUUAAAUGAAUCUAUCCUCUAAGCAUUAAAAGUUAAAAAUUAUUGUUUUCAAGUAUUUCUACUAAAAUAAAUAAAAGUAAAAAAAAAAAAACCUUUCAAAUGUAAAAAAUAAUGUAGUUUUGACAUAAAGUAUACAAAAAAAAAUUAAUUCAAUUGAGAAUGAUAGGUGUCAAUCAAUUGACUCAAUCAGAUAUCCUACUUAAAAUAGUACUUAUUUAAAGAAGACAAUAAUCAUAUCAAAGAUUGUUAGAUGCAUAAUAAAAUAUUAAGAAAUGAAAGAAUAUAUAACCUAUAUUAUUAGUAGAUUAAGAUAAACCGUUGUAGAAUAUAGAACAACAGUAUAAUGUAAAAAUCCUUUCAAUAUAAAAUAAUUACUAAUUUCUAAUAGUAUCUAUCUUUUAUAUAUAAAAUGAAUGGCUAAAGGUUGUUAAAUUCAAUUGAUUUGUUUAUUAAAUGAUAACUAUGUGCUAUGUAUAUUUAGAAAUGAAUAGACCUUGACUUUUUUAUUUUGUUUAAUGGAUUGAAUGGAUAUUUAUUUGAAUUUAAACAUUCAUGUAUAAAAGAGAUAUGUAAAUACUCUGGAUUCAGGUUUAUACAAAAUAAGAGAAUAUAAAAAAAAUAAUAUUAAAUUACAAUUGAUAAAUAAUAAAUGAAUCUAUCCGCUAAACAUUAGAAGUUUAAAAUUACUUUUUUCUAGUAUUUUUUACUGAAAUAAAUAAAAAAAACUUUUCAAAUGUCAAAAAAAGAGUAGUUUUGACAUAAGGUGUGCAAAAAAAAAAUUAGUUCAAUUAAGAAUGACAGGUGUCAACCAAUUGAUCCAAUUAGUUACCUUACUUUUAUAUAUAUUAUAGAUAUAUAACAUGUUCUAAUAAUUUAAGGUUUUGGAGUCUGAGAUAUUAAUAUUACUUGUUAAAUACAGUAAUUCUUUUUUAGAAAAAAAAGAAAAGAAAGAAAAGAUGAGGCCAAUAGUUCCAUAAGGCCAAUAAUUCCUUUUUUUUUCUUCCUGCAUUUGGAUGAUUCAUAUUUUGUUCUACGCAUGUAAUCCAAGUCGGUAAAAUGAUUCGCCUAUAUAGAAGUGGAUUUAAUCCAAACUCUGCUACUUCUUGCUAAUUAAGUGGACUAACAAUAUUGAUUUUUUUUCUUUGAAUUGCCCUUUUGUAAGUUAAAUAUUACUAAUAGUUGUGUGAAAUGACUGUGAAAUCUCACCAAAACUUGAUGUCAAAACUCUGUCAAUAUUUCACAGCAAUUGGAAACUUUUUCCUUGUUUUAAUCUCCCAUUCUUCAAUUACAAUCUUCAAUUUUAAGCAUUUAGGAUCUCACUUGCUCUAGAUGGAACCCUUGACAGAUAGCAUACUUUGUAGUCGAAGCAUAAAAUUUUAUACUCUUGUACAUAUCUCCAUUCAAUACUCUUGAGCUGAAAGCUAGUAAUAAUAGAAAAUAAAGUAAAAAGUCUGCCCGUACACUCCUGGUGAUUUUUUUUUCUCAGCCAAAAGCGAAAGGAUAUAUUAAUGAUUGAUAAAUGUACAAAAUGGUGAGCAAAGAGACGGCUCAAAGCAGCAACAAAACAAAAAAAGCUGUAACAAAAUAGCUGGAGAACAGAAUAGACUCAGGGCAAAUAAAGAUGAAACAUGAAUUCAAAAAGUGACGAGAGAGGGCAGAAAAAUGCUGGUAGGAUCUCAAGCAUCAGUCUGCGAUCAAGCAGCAGUGACAUACAGUGCAUAACAGAGCAGUAUUACUACAUAGCACACGGGCAAAGGAGGAGAUUAAAGAGACGAGGAGAAAUUGCUGUAGGUAAAAUUUCCUCCCCUUCUUCUCAAAGUAUAACUAUUGCCAUGAUGAAUGUAGACUUUUGAGAUACUGUUCUAGGAUUUACUAUUUGCUACAUUUGGGUGCUACAACUACUGUAACCUCAUCUUCCUACAUUGUAGUAAAAUCUCUUCUACUCUUUAUAUCUAUGGAUGUAAGUAAUUAAGUCGAACGACGUAAAUUUUUGUGUAUUUGAUUAUGUUGAAUUGUUGGCUUGCUAGUUAACAUCAAAUUUGGUUUUCUUUAGUAUUUUAUAGUUUUUACUUGGUUAUUUGUCAAAGGUAUAACUAUUAGGUAGAACCUAUUUUCAUAUUUUAGCUAACAAAUAUUCUAAAAAAAACUUAUCAAAUUUACCAUAUUAAAUAAUAUUUUCAAUCAAUAUGUUGAAAAUCUUAUAUUGAAAUAGUAUCUUGACAAGUAUUUUUAAGACAAUAGUUAAUAAAAUAUAUUUUAUACUUAUUUAUUUGGAAGAUACAACUCUAAUUGUUAGUAUUUCAACCCUGACUCACUGCAAAAUUUUGGCACUUUCACUCAAUGUUUUCCAGUCGCUAGAUUUGCAAGUCUAAGAUUAAUUAUGAACACACACCUUUGCAUUUUGCAUUGCACAUUCCUACCAAAAUUAUGAAGUACCAUAAUUUGAGGGUUUUGUUAGACUGGAUACCCAAUCUCAUCACUUCCCUCAUAGGUCUUCACAUUUGCGAGUGCCUUGAAUUACCGGACUUGCAAGAAGGGAUGCAUAGCCUUACCUCUUUAAAAUGGUUGUUGAUUUACAAUUGCACUAAACUAAGUUCUUCGGGAUUGGGUUAUGUCACUUCUAAUUCAUGUGCGCCAUGAUUUGCAUUCCUUGCAACUAAUGCAAUGGAUGGACAUCAUACCUAGUUUCACUUCUCUCAAAACACUUAAGAUUUGUAAGUGCCCUGAAUUACAAGACUUGCAAGGGAUGGAUCAUCUUACCUCUUUACAAGUAUUGUCAAUCAAUGAAUGUCCCCAAUUGUUGGAAAUAUGUCAAAAGCAGACCCGAAUCCUUUGGCCUCACAUCGCUCACAUCCCAUCUAUUAUAAUUGACGGGCAAUAGGGUCAAUGGUGAUCAUACAAUGUAGGUAACUAUAUUUUUCUUCACCUCUAUUAUAUUUUCUCCCUUUACCUGAUAAUUCUUUUUUUUUCUUUUUUUCCUGAAUUUGGGUUUGGACUAAUAAUAUUGAUAUUUUUUUCUUUUCAUACUUUGAAUUUUUAAAUAUUAAUAAAUAUUUAAACUGCCAGCAUAACUUGAUGUCAAGGCUCUGCCAGUAUUUAACAGCAAUUGGGAACUCUUUCCUUGUUUCAAUCUCACAUUCUUCAUUUAUAAUCUUAAGUCUUAAGCAUUUUGGAUCUUACUAGCUCUAUAUGGAACCCUUAUACAGAUAGCAUACUUAUAGUAGUCAAAGCAUUAAAUUCUAUACUCUUAUACAGACAAUAUUUUUAGAAAAAAAAUACAGUAGUAUAAAUGUAGCUAAGUAAUCAAAUUAUUCUGUUUCUCACCUUUCGAUAUCAAUUCCUAACAAUCUUUUAGAUGUUUCCUCUCACCUUUUUCAGUACUGUUAAUCUGUGUCUGGAGGAGAUUGAUGCAACUCAGAUAUUCUUAAUAGUUAAACUUCUUCUAUUUAACAUAUGCAAAAAAUGGAGUUCAUGAACAAAUUAUUGUAAGUAGUUUCACUUCCCCCGUUUUUAUAUGUUUGUGUUUUUCAUUGAAAAUUACCGUUUUUAUAACUUUGGAUGUUCUUGCCAUACCCUUUCAGAAGCAAAACCAGAAUUAAAUGGACAAGGAUCAUGAGACAAAUUACUUCUAUCACAGAGAUUCGAAGUAACUGAAACACUGGUGAAAUGAACUGAGAUGUGAGAGUGAGAAUCGUUCUUCUUUUUACAGAUUUAUAUAUAUAUCUUCUUUUUUGUCUAUCUUCUCUUCAAGGAAAUGACUAAUAUUAUAACCUCUUCCUUUCAUCAAGCAGACGGAAUGAAGUAUUAACCAAUAUUGUUUUUUCCCAAGUAUCCCUGAGGAUUUGCAACUACAAGUUUGUUGGGAAACCCCUUUGCUUCUUUCAAAAUCAAUAAUGCUUCCAUGUUGGCCAUUCUUGGAGGUCUGUGUGCAUUGGCUUCAAUCCUAGUCUUUAGACUUUCACUACAAUAACGCAAACUGCUAAGGGGACCUAAAAACAAAGGUUCUUUCAUAGUGUACAUGGGGAAUACCUUUGGGAUACUGUUCCGAGAUUUCCUUUGGCUACAUUUGGGUGCUGCAACUACUGCAACCUCAUCUUCCCACAUGGUAAUAAAAUCCUUCUACUCUUAUGUCCAUGGAUGUAGGCAAUUAAGCUGAACCACGUAAAUUCUUGUGAGUUUUAUUAUGCUGGAUUAAUUGUUUGCUUGCUUUUUGUCAUCAAAUUUAAUUUGCUUUGGUAUUUAUAUUUUUCAGUAGGUUGUUUGUCAAAGGUAUAGUAUAACCCAUUUUCAUAUUCCAGCUAACAAAGUAGUCUAAAAUAAUUUAUCAAACUUUUUUUUUUGCAGCAAUUUUAUCAAACUUAUCUUAUUAAGUAAUAUGUUCAAUCAAUAUAUCGAAAAUCUUAUAUUAAAAUAAUAUCUUAACAAGUGUUCUUAAGACACUCGAUAAUAAAAUAUUUCAUUUGGAAGAUGAAACUCUAAUUGUUAGUAUUUCAACCUUGACUCAAUCCAAACCUUGGGCACUUUCACUCAUUGUCUUCCACUAGCUAGAUUUCACUCAUUGAAUUUUUGUAUUAUUACUUUUAUUGCUAUUCAAUUCAUGUAAGCAAGCUUUCAACUGUAUUUUGGACUAGAAGGAGACAUGAAGUAUAAAGGCCUACUUUUUCUCAAGAAGCUUCUCUAACAACUCCGGUAUCACUUCAAAAAUAUCUCCCUCAAUAAAUUGAACCAUCAAGAUGAAGCAAAAUAUAAUUGUACAUGUUCCUUUUGCAUUAAGACUUAUUUUGUAUUGAAUUCUCAGUUUUUGUUUUUUUUUUCCCUUGGAUUCUAAGUUUUCAAACAGUGCAGAAAGUGCCAUGCAUGAAGAUUAUUAGAAAGAAAAAUCAAACAAUGCCUCCAAGUGUAGAUUGUAAAGCUAGAAUCUUUCAGACUUAAAACCUACACUUGCCUUGAGUUCCCUGGUCUGUGUUUGAACCCACAGAAGAAGCUGCAGAGUUUCAUGUCUUCCAUUUUUUGCUGAAAGCAUAUGGCUGAGAAUAUAAUGUUCAAAGAAAUUAAAUUCACAUUGGUCUAUUUGUUUCCUAGCAGGCUCCUUUAGAUAAGAUCUCUUUGGUGGUCAAUAAAGUAUAGCAGGAUGAAAGUUAUUGGAAAAGAGUUAAUAUGAAAACAAGAAUCUAAUCAGUCAUAAAAUUAAUAAAAACUCUGUUCCUAAAAUUAAAAAUCAAAAUUUGGGGAAUACUACUAGAAUUCCAUUUUCCACUAGUUUUUAUUUGAGUUCAACAAUAUAAAUAUAUUUUCUCUGCUUUGUUAAUUAACUACUUUUCCUUACUUUUGUUUGAUCUCUUAAAUUACUUUUGUUUGAUCCUUGUUAGCUACUUUUCCUUUCCUUAAAUUGAGAUAAGCUUCAAUAAAACAUAUUAUAUUCUCCAUAUAUAAUUUUUUUAUAUGCUCAAUUUGUAUUAACAUUUAUGAAUUUGACUUCUUAUUUGUUAAGAUGGCAAAUAAAAUUAAUUAAUUUGUACUUUACUUCUUUCUCAAGUUGGGAGUCAUAAAGAAGUUUUUCAGGUUCACAGUGAGUAUUCUUUCUCAAGUAUAAAGAAAUUCCACCUGGAGGAUUUAUCUAAAGUGCGGAUUAUAUGGAAGGAUGUCACCCAAGUUGUAACUCUUGAAAACUUUACAAUUCCGAAAGUGAUAGAUUGCAUGAGGUUAAUUCAUACAUUUUCACUUAUGACUGCUCGAAGUUUAUCAUAGUUGGUCUCGCUAAUUAUAAAAAAAAUGUGAUGCAUUGGACCAAAUCAUUACUGAGGAUCAACUUUGUUCAUCAUCAAAUGGUGAUCUCCAACCUAUAAGGUUUCCUAAUUUGACCAGAAUUUUAGUUUAAUAUUGCAAAGAGUUGAAAGUCUCUUUCUUCUUGGAUCUGCUUAUUGUCUUCCAAAACAUGAAUAUUUAACAGAUGAAGGGAACUCUAAAUUGGAGCAAGUAUUUGAACUAGAAGAUGAAGCAAAAGCGAUAGCUGAAAAGGAGAUAAAGUUUGAUCAAUUAAAAUGGUUAUCACUUGAAGAACUGUCAGGCCUCAUUGACUUAUGCCCAAGGGGAUAUCGCUUUGUAUAAUCGGCUUUGUGGUCUUUAACAGCAAAAGAAUGUCCCAAGAUGACUACAGGUUUCUUCAUUGAUUCAAAGAGAUAUGUGCACGCCAAAACAGAGGUGUACACCCUGAAAACUUUAAUCCUAUCUAUUUUUUUAUUUGGUAUUUAUUAUUGAUUAGUGAAUUAAGUACAAGCUUUUAUUUGGUAUGUGUAAAGGCAAUUCGAGUCUUUAAUGAUAUUAUAGGCAUAAUCUUCAAAAUCUUUACUUAAAUUAAUUAAAUGAUUGAGUAGUACACUGCAAUCAAAAAGUUGGUCUAGAAUAUCACUUUUAGUGAAUGAUUCCAUCACCUUUUAUGAAUUUUUGACCUAAAAUUGCUUAUAAAUUGUAAUAUGCCUUUUUCUUCUUUUGUCCUCAUAACAUGAGACAUCAAUGCUUUUGUUUUACAUUUCACUGCUUCAAUUUUUUCAAAAGACACUGCAAUUGGUUGAGCAAGUUGUCACUAAGGGUCUACCACUGCUCAGAAUGUAGUUCACACUAAGUCCAAUAUUUACUUAAAGAAAAAACAGGAGGUUUGAUAUAUGUGCUCUUCCCUGGUGAAGGUGUUUGCUUAAUGAGUUGUCAAGCGAAGGGAUCCCAUGCUUUGAAUAAUUUACCCAAUCAAUGUUAUGUUGCUGCUCUCUGUGUUUACAAUAAGUAGAAGAACAAGAGUGAAAUUCCUCUGUUUUUUAUCCUUAUGUUUGUAUUUUAAAAUAUUUAGUGAGUAAGUUGUGCAAGUAUGUUAUGCAGCAAUCAAUACAUGGGAUAUUAAACCUUAAUUUCCAUGUACAAACCAGGCAGAUUUUUAUUUUGUAAAGGUUCCAAGUGAUUUAUCGAAAUAUUGAGAGUUUGAUUUAUUGAAAUAUUGAGGUAUAAUUAUUUUUUUUAAAUAAUAACAGUCUACCAUUUGACUCAAUAAUGGUUGCCUGUUUUUCCCUAGCCUCAUAACAAGAAAAUAUAAAAAAAACUGAUAAUAGAUUUACUUUAUGGCACUUGUGGAUAAGGUGGACGAAACAGAGGAUAAUGUUGUUACAUAAUUACUGAACAAAUGAGGAUAAUGUGAAAUUUAACAGCUGGUUUGUUUGAGUGAAAUUGAACUAGUCUAAGAAAACAUGGUUUUUCUGUGUGUUAAGUUGAUUUGCAGUUAGUUGGGGUUGGGAUUAUUGAAAGAAUCAAUUUAGUGUUGGUUACUGGUUACGGAUAUAAAAUGAAAGUAUUCUCAUUUCUGAAAUUUGCUAGCUACUGCUGCUGCUACAUGUUAGCAACAUACAAGUAUUCUCAUUUCUUUCCUUCAUCUUUCAUCUACUUUAAUUGUUCUUGGGUGGUUCAUUCUCAUUACUACUCCAAGGCCAUCACCUCAAAGACUAUGUGAUAAAAGUUGGAAGGAGCAUCAACUAUAAUAAUGGUAAAAGGCUUUGGCCCCUGUUUUUAAUGAUAUUUUCUUUUGGUUUUUAAUUAUUUGAUUUCCAUCAAGUUGGCUAACAAUCAAUUAAUUAACCAAGUAAAUGCCUUCGUUAUAUUUUACUCAUGUAUAUGGCUGAGAUUAGGCUACUACUUCGUAGACAAAGUGUCAAAUGAAAUCAAAUUUAAUAUAAAAGGAGAUUGCAUUUCCAUAGACAAAAAGUGAACCAUGACUUAGGCCAGGAAUUGUACUGCUAGCUGCUUUGUCCCUUGCAUACUUUCUUUCAAGCGAGCUGCUGAUUUUUCAUAAGGAAAAAAGAGUAACUACUUGAAGAAAGGAAGGUUUAUUAAGGGGAUAAUGAUGUUCUUCAUCUGCUGAGCUUUUGUUUCAUACGGAAGUUGUCGAAUUAAAGAAAGGGCCAACAUAUAACUUUACUUGUGAAUUUCUUAUGAUAACAAUGUUUUGGACGAGUCAAAUAUAUACAAAAAGAAUUAGCCCCAUUAGUUCAAGGUUUACGAUAAGUGCUUCUUUUUCUUGAAAAAGAAAAAAGAUUACUGAUCUCAUUGGUUCAACGUUUUACAAAACCAUAUAGAGAUUUCCAGUGUUUCUCAUACUCUUUUUCACAUCUCUACAAUUCUGUGAAACUUUUACAAAAAUUUCGGAUUUCAAAAAAAUUAUCUCUUACAUAAGAUCAUAUAAAGAUUGCAUCUCUAUCUUAAUUUUAAAAGUUAAGACCCAUUCCAUAUCUAUAAAACCAUAUUACUUUGUCACUAUGAAUUCCAACCCAUUAAAAACUCUUAAUCAUUAAGUAUAUUUGCCCAUUAAAUAAACUUAAUCAUCAAAUAAUUUUUGACUAAUGAAAUUUUACUGAUUGCAAAUUAAAAUUUGAAUAAAAUAUCUAACACAUUCACAUGCAAUUGUCCCUAGCAGUAAACAAAAAUCCUCAAAUCUGUAAACAUUAUAUAAUAAUGUUGAUAGCACAUGCUGGUCAAAGAGCUUUUAGCUCGAGGGAGCAAUAAACAUUGGAGUCUCGAGCACCACCCACAACCAAGGAAGGAAAAAACAAGGGGGACAGACCAACUAUUGAAAAGCCAACUGAAAAACAAUAAACAAAACAAAUUAGCUUUCUCAAUGUAUAGCAUUAGCUUUCGCAUAUCAAAGAAAAGAGAAUCUUACAUGGAUAGUGUGAGUCAAGUUGCUAAUAUUGUUCCAUUGUUCGUAAUAUGAAUAUUAGUGUUCCAAAUUUCCUACACCUACUCUUACUACUUUGUCUUCAUAGAGUUUCUGAAGGGAUCUCUUGCUGUCAAUAGUUUAGCCAACUAAUGUUAUGUUGCUUUCUAUUGCACUUUUAUUGUACAAUAAUUAAAAGAACAAGAGUGAAAUUCCUCUGUACCUUAAUUUUUAAUUUUGUAUUUUAAAUCCUCAGUGAAUAAGUUGUGCAAAUGUGUUAUGCUGGAAUAAAGAUAUGGAAAAUUAAACUUUAAUGUACAAACCACACAAAUUUUUAUUUUAUGAAGGUUCCCAACUAUUUAUUGAAAUAUUGAGAGUUUGAUUGCUACUCCAACUAUAAGAUCUAUAAACUUAACAAUAGCAUCAUUUUCUUUCCAUGCACAUUUGAUUUGCAAGCAUUACCAAACAAGCUUCCCAAGCAUGCAUGAAUGACAUCGAUCUUCUUAGAAUCUCUCAUUCGAUAAACAAAAUACUAUAAUCUGAACUGAAACUUUCUUUUUUAUUCUCUUUCGUUGAUCAAGCUGAAGCGAAUUUGAAUAGCACAUUCUUUUUUAUAUCGACCCUUUAAAUAAACUUAACCAUCUAAUAAUUUUUAACCAAUAAAAUUUUAGCAAUGUUCAGUUAAAAUUUGGAUAAAAUAACUAUCACAUUCACAUGCAAUUGUCCCUAGUAAACAAAUAUCCUCAUAUCUAUAAAAAUUAUAUGCAAUGUUGAUAGCACAUGCUGGCCACAGUGCUUUUAGAGGGAGCAUUUAACUUUUGUCUCAAGCACCACCCACAUCCAAGGAAGAAAACCGUAAAUAAAACAAACUUUCUCAACGUAUAGCAUUGGCUUUCGCAUUUUAGCUGGAUUAUCAAAGAAAAGAGACUCUUAAAUGGGAACUGUGAGCCAAGUUACCACUAUUUUUCCAUUGAUCCUAAUUUGAAUAUUAGUGUUCCAAAUUUCCUGUACCUACUCUUACUACAUUGUCGUCAUAGAGUUUCUGAAGGGAUCUCAUGCUUCCAAUAGUUUAGCCAAUUAAUGUUAUGUUGCUCUACCCCAACCGAAUUUGCUUAUGUUAUGGGAGUCUAUUGCGAUCUAAGCAAGAGACUCCAACUGACAUUAUGAUUGUGAGGUUAAUAAAUUUUCUUUUCAAAAAAAAAAAUUAUGUUACUCUCUAUUACAAGUAAUGCUUAAUUGCAAAAGAAUCAUAAUUAAAUGAGGAUCCAGUGUUUAUUCUUAAGAACAUUUACAAAAUAAUAAUAGUAAUUUUUACUAACAAAGAGAGUCAAAUGUUUUCUUAUAAACCAAUCAAGUAGAUGAUAAAUAAAUGCUGAAAAUAAUUGAAAAAAUGACAAAAAGAAAGGGAUCAAUAAUUCAAAAGUGCAUCAAUGAUUCCAUGUCCCAUUUGCAUAGAGUACAAAGAAAAAAUUAAAGGUGUGAAUUUAAUUACCUUUCGAAUAAUGGUAAUUUUUUUUAGGGAAAAUUUGUACUUAUUAUGUUUAAGAUAUCAAACAUGAAGCCAAUUUUACAUUAGUUAAAAUUUCCUUUAGUAAAAUAUUUUCAUCUUUUUUUUUUCUUUGAGAGAGAAUUAGUUGAUAAUGAUUCUUCAAUGACAUUAAACUCUUCACUAAUGGAGACAGCAAUAUUGUAUUCAAUUCAAACAUGAAUCAGAAAACUUUGGAAAAGCUCGGAGAAUUUCCCUUUUACUUUACUAAAGUUGGUUUCCACAUUAAACUUAAUUCUUUGAAGGCAAGAACCAAGAAAAGUCCUACUUCCACAUUGAUGUUUCUUUGUUAACUUUAAAAAGGAGACAUUUUUUUGUCAUCACAAGGAAAAAACAAAUGACGGCACUUUCUCCAACAUUUUUUAGCUUAGUUUUUCCAAUGCUGGUGUUUUUUUAAUUGAAAUUUCUCCUUGAGAAUACCAAGUCCUUGCUGCAACUUUUCUCGAAAAAGAAAAUAAAAUGAUUCCAUGUCCAGUAGCAAAAGCUUUACUUGGGGUUUCGGAUUAUUGAAAGAAGCAAUUUAGUGUUGGUCGCUGGUUUGAUGAGAUGGAAUAUUGCAUUACAAAAGGAAAACAAACUGUCUGAUUAAACAACAGGAAAGUGCUGCCUAGAUUUGAUAGAAUUUAGAAUCAAAAGUAGUGGAAAACAAGAGGCAUUUCAGGUCAAGGGUCUUCCAUUUUUCAACUAAAACCCAAGAACGUAGGAAGAAUAUAUUUGACUUAUUUGAGUCCUAAAAGGGUCUUGCUCAAAUUUAAGUUAAUUUGGAGAAGUUUUUGAAGUUAAGUAAUAAUUGGAUGGAAACAACUUAAAGCGGUCACUCAAUGUGAAUAAAGCUUAUUUAAAAUUAAUGAAGAAAUCAACUACGAAGGAAAUCACUACAUCGAGUUGACUAACAAUCAAUUCACCAAGUAAAUGGCCUUGUUUUAUUUCACUUAUCAUGCAUAUGGGUGAGAUUAGGCUACUACUUGUUAAAGAAAGUGUUGAAUGAAAUCAAUUGAUUAUUAAUCUAUUUAUUCGUAAAAAGAUAAUGCAUUUCCAUAGACAAAAAGCGAACCAUGCUUCACGCCUGGAAGGAAAAAGAGUAAGUAAUUGACGAAAUGAGGAUAAAACAUAGAAAAGCUUCACUGUCCCACAUCUAGAAAACCUUCUCUUAUUACUUUCUCGUCAUAGAGUUUUCAUUUGAGCAUCUUCUUCUAUCAUCUCCACAUCUACGAGCUACACUGUCCCAAGAAUUUGUAUGAUUUCUGCAUUCUCUUCUUUUAACUCGACAAAACCUAUUCUUCCACUUUAUUUUCCUUCACUUUCCCACUUUUCUUUCAACUCAAAGAACAAAAGUAUCUCUGUAGUGUGUUGUUUAACUCUGCAAAAAAAAAAAAAAAACAAAACAAAACAGUUGAUCUCUUGAAUUACUUUUGCUUGAUCCUUGUUAGCUACUUUUCCUUUUCUUAAUUUUGGUUUCCCAAUCUCCGGAGUUGGUGAAGUAAUUCCAUUACAAUUGAGGUAAGCUUCUGUUAAACAUAUUAUAUUCUCCAUAUUUAAUUUUUUUAUGGGCUCAAUUUCUCUUAUCAUUCAUGAAUUUGACUUCUUAUUUUUGUAGUUUGCAAGUAAAAUUAAGUAAUUUGUACUUUUCUUCUUUACUUCAUAAUCCUAUGAUAUUUAGUAAUAUACUUUGUGCAGCAUUUUAGCAUGAAAUAGUUUUAAUAUUAUGACUUUAAAAUAUGGAAAAUAUAUCAAUAAACCUAUGCUGAAAUUUCAUUCUAAAUUUUUUACUUUAUUAUAAAUUUUCAUAUUUUUUCCAUUUUUUACCGACGUUUAUGGAUAUUUUGGAAAAUAUUUUAUGGAAUAAUGAUACUAUGCUUUUACUUUAAUAUGAAAAUAUAUUUUUAAUUGAUAUACACAUGACCAGUGACAAGAAUUUCUACAACUGAAGCAUUUUUAAUUUCCAAGUUGGUCCGUAAACAAUUGGUUCCCUUGUGAUCCACAUUUUCAUAAAGGUAAGGUACUUUGCAAACAUUUGGUAAUUGUUUUUGUCUCUCUGUAAAACUUUUUACUCAUUAAAAUUAAAACUAGGUAGAUUUUUAUUUUGUGAAAGUGCCAAGUGAUCAUUAAAACAUUUGUCAAUUUAAACAUACCCAAUUAUGAUUAAUGGUGUUCAAUCAGUUUGAUUAAAGUUUUAGUUCAAUAAGUUAUGGAUAUAUUUAGAUUCAAUUUAGCUUAUUGAUGGAUAAGUGAGGGUAACAGAACAUUUAACCCAGUUAAUUUUUUUAUUUAUUAAUUUAGAUCACAUCUUUUAAUUUAUUUUGAUCCAAUUAGAUUCUCCUUUUGAUCUACUUGUCUCUAUCUUUGGGUCUUAAUAAUUUACACAAUUGAAUUUUCAUUUUUUUUUAUGGUUGCAAUUGCACCUUUUAUUUUUUGGUAAAAAAGGGAUAGUGCGAACCGUGACUUCAGGUGUCUUGGGCAUAACCUCAAGCCACCCCUAUAUUCCCACUUGAAAGACAGAGGAAAAAACAAAGCUUAGAAAUGGAAGAAUCAUUUCCCAUGACCGGUGGAGAUGGCCCCAACAGUUAUGCAAAGAAUUCCAAACGUCAGGUACUUCUUUAGUUACCCUGUAUAUCCUUAUUUGUUGUAAAUCCUUACUUGGCCACCUCUUAUAAGUUUUACAAACUUUUCAUUUGAUCCUUAACUACUUUAUUUAUUUUUAUAUAUAUAAAUUUUUUGAGCACAUUUCUAAUUACCCAUUACAUAAGUAUACACUACGAAAAAUUCAAUAAGCUAUUUUUAUUAGUUUUAAUUUUGGAAAUGGUGGAAAUGAAAUCUUAAUUUCUUUUGGUUUUUGGCAUGAUUGUUCUUUACUUUGGCUAUCUAGAACAAAAUUAAAUAUUAUAAAACACUAAUUUCUAUGCAAAUAAGUUUUAAUUCAAUUUAUUUAUUUUAAAAAUAUAAGCAUAAAAGUGAAAUAAAGAUAAUAAAUUUUAAUAUAAACUAUACCAAAAUAUUUUUUUAUUUAAUAAAAAAUUUAAAAAUUUUAGUAUAAAAUAUAAAUUUUCUUUUUUAAAUUCCGUGAAAGUGAAAUAGAAAUAAUAAAAAUUGGACAAAAAGAGUAUUAUCAUCAGUUUUGAAACUUGUAUUCUUUUAAAUAUGUAUAUCUGUGUUCAAUGAAUGUUCUCUUUAAUUCAAAUUAGUAAAUGACAAACAAAGAGAAUUAUAAUUGUCUGAAAUUGUACAAGAGACAAUCUUAUUUUCUUUAGCUCCUCAGGUUUGGAGUCGAUUACAUUGUUUUUAGUCUGUUGAUUACCUCAAAAUUUUGGGAGUGUCAAUCCUCAUUGGUUAGCAACAGUGUUGAAAGAAUUAGACCAGAUUGACCAAUCAGACUGGUUGAACCAGUAGUUUACCUGGUCUGAUUAGAGGGCUCAAACUGCUAAAACUUCAGUUUCUAUCUUCAAAAGUUCUUGUCUUACCUUGAUUGUUAAUUAAAAACUCUAAUCAUUUAGUAACAUGUCAUUUUUUUUUUCAUAUUUAACAUACAUUUAAUGUUAAAAUUCUAUUUUUUUUUUUUAAAAAAAAAAAGUUGUANUUUCAUUUAUUUUUUUUUUUUUUUAAAAAAAGGGGGUUGGAUUGAACUGGCUAAAUCAAUUGAAAUAAGAAUCAAUGGCACCAUUGGUGUAAUUCUCGAUCUGAGUUUUUAAACAUUGGUUAGAAAUAUUUGGCCUGUAAUUAGCAUUGUAAUUAAUAUAAUACAAAAUUAUAGUACCGAAUUGUUGAUUUUAAUUUGUGGGAAUUAGAAAACAUGUAUGAUGUGACUUUUUCUUUAUUGUGCAACUCCUUUGAUAUACAUUAUUAUAAGAUAAUCUCUUCUCAUAUCUAGUAAAUCUCCUCUUAAUUUGUAAUAUCUGAUUUCAAAAUUUUUAAGUUGAAAUUUUUUUUAUUAAAAUGUCUUUCGAGAGGCUAAACAUGUAAUAUGAUAUUGUCAAAAUGGAUUAUUUUGGGAACCUAGCUAACUCCUUUCAAUUUUUUUUUCUUUUCAUAUUCUUCUUAAAUUUAGAAAGGAGCAGCAGAUAAGGCGAAAUCAGUAUUAGUUGAAGCAAUUAUUGAAAAGCUUGAAGUAGAAGAUACACCUUCCAUUGCAAGCACAUUUCGAAUUGCCGAUUUAGGCUGUUCAACGGGACCUAACACAUUCUUUUCCGUGAAUACAAUUAUAGAAGCCGUAACCCACAAGUACAAAACCAAAGGGCAUACUAGCCUGCCUGACUUCCAAGUACACUUCAAUGAUCAUGUUUCCAAUGAUUUCAACAUGCUUUUUAACAGUCUUCCUCCAGGCCGUCAGUACUUUGUAUCGGGAGUUCCAGGUUCCUUUCAUAGCAGAUUGUUUCCAAAAGCAAGUCUCCAUUUUGUCUACUCUGCCUAUGCUCUUCAAUGGCUUUCAAGGGUACCGCAGGAGUUAAGUGACAUUAAUUCACCUGCAUAUAAUCGUGGGAGGAUAUUUUAUUCAAAUGCACCAAACGAAGUUGGCAAGGCUUAUACAGCUCAGUAUGUAAUGGACAUGGAGCGUUUCUUAGCUGCUCGAGCAAAAGAGAUAGUCCCUGGAGGAUUAAUGGCCCUUCUGAUUCCAGGACGCCCAGAUGGGACACUUCCAGCAGAAUCAUCAAUCGGCCCCUUCUUCCAGCCCCUGGAAUCUUGCCUCGUGGAUAUGGCAAAUGAGGUAAUUAGUACAAGCACAAUAUUGAAACAUCAUGAAGAUAGAUCAAAUUUUCAUUCUGCAACUACACGCGAAAUGCUAUAAAGCAAUAUAUAUAUAUAUAUUAAAAGAUAAAAAGAAGUAUUUUAAUAUAUAUUAAAAGAACCAAUAAUUAAAAUAUGUACGUCCAUUAUAACAUAAUUGGUCUAAAGAGAAGUAAAAUCAUCCAUUUUGUUAUUUAUAAAAAUUAAAUAUUUUAUAUAUAAUCUUUCAAAAAUAUUAUUUGUUUUUGUUUUCCAAUGAUUUUUUUUUUAUUUUUCUUCUAGAUUACCAAAAAGUAAAUAGCAAAAACACCAACCCAACUUCUAGUACUUUCUAGAAUAGGCGAAUAUUUACACUUUUUUACAGCAUCGUUGAGUUAGAGCUAUGAAUUUUUGUCGUGCGCUAUUAAAAAUGCUUUUAACAACAUUUUUUGCAUACUUUUAUUAAUAUUUUUUUUAUAAAUUUAUGACUAUACUAUACAAGUUUCUAACAGUAUUAUUAAUAAUAAAUAUAGUUAUAGACAUCGUAUAAACUAGUAGACGGUACAUUUUUAUUAUUAUUGUUGAAAAUAAGAAAAAUAAAGUAAAAAAUUUAUAUAAUUACACUUUUUAAAUUUUUGUUAUGUAAAAAAGAUAUGUUAGUUCAGAGGAAUGUAAUUAAAGUAUAAAUUUAUUGUAGUAACUCAAGCAAUGGUUGUCCUAUGCAGGGAAUAAUUAAUAAAGCUAAAAUCGAUUCAUUCAACUUGCCUAUGUACAGCCCAUCCCCUGAAGAGCUAAGACAACUCAUACAGAAAAAUGGGAGUUUUAGCAUAGCGAGAUUGGAAAGCAACACAGAUGCGGGGAGCAAACGGUUGUGUGGAGCAGGUGAGUGUAGAUCUGGGUUAGAGAACAUCAUCGCAGGACACUUUGGGAGUAAUAUAGUAGAAGAAUUAUUUGAGCGAUACGCCAAGAAAAUUGCAGGAUGCCCUCCCCUUGACACUGGUGACACAAGUGGAAUUGGAUUAUGCAUCAUCCUCAAACGCAACCACUGAUGAGAAAUCUGCUCUCUGCUUGCUUCAUCUAUUUCACUUCUAUGCACGAUUGAUUUAAUUCAAGCUGCUCCUUUGGGCCAUAUUCAUACAUCCUUUGCCUUGUUUUUUUUUUUUUCUCGUUUCUGGUUUUUCUUUUGUUGCAACUUUGCUAAGACAAGCACACAAUAUUAGAGAUGUACUGUACUUCUGUGAUUUAUAAUAUAGGCUUCUUUUUCUUAUACUUUUCUGCAAUUUACUUGUUAUUCAUUUGCUAUUUACUUUUUUAACAAAUAAUUAGAUUAAUAGUCAUAUAAAUAUGGGUAAAGAAUUUUUUUUUAACAUAUGAUCUUUAGCUUAUAUAAUGAGAGAUAAUUCUCUCCCGUAUAACUUAUUGCUCUAACUGCUUUAUUCUCAGGUUUCAUUUCAUGUUCUUAAUUUUUAAGAUAUCUCGAACCACAUAGAGAGCUAUAAGUGUUACAUCUUAGGUUUAUCUUUCAAGCACAUUUUCAGAGAGGUUAAUUUUAUUGCAAAUGAAUUUGCAAAAGUAGGAAUUUUCUGAAUUUAUCAGAAUUAUUAAUUUGUUUCCAAUUUAAGUUUAAGUUAUAUCUGUAAGAUUUAAGCAAUAAUACCACUGUUCCUAGACAAAUGAAACAUAUCUGAAGCCACAUGGAGAGCUAUAAUUGCUACAUCUCAAGUCUAUCUUUCAAGCACAUUCUUAGAGAGAUUAAUUUUCUUGCAAUUGGAUUUACAUAAGUAGAAAUUUCUUGAAUUAGAAAUUUCUACGAUAUUUUAUAACUGAUAGAUUAUCGCAUUUUUUUUCGUGUUUUCUCUUGUUUCAGUUUGUACAACUUUAACUCUCCAUCCUAUAUAUUUCCAAUAUAAUUAUCUUACUUACCUUUAAAAAAAAUUGUUAUUUUGACAUUCCGGCCACUCAUCUUUUAUGUUUUAAGCAUCAUUACAAUUUCAAAAGAAUCUUUGGUCAUAGACAUACUCUCAAGGCCAAAAUCAACUAAGUCAAUCUACCUAGAGUGCCCCUCAAUUUGGGUAUAUCCUACGAGCCUUCUAGCUUUUAACUGUAGAGGGCACUGUUGUCGCACUUUGCUAGCAUGUCUGGUAGAAUUAGUGUGGUAAAUGCCAGAAAUUUCAGGUAUGAAAGAUGAAGAAAAACGGCUCAAGGGUUAAAGGAAUUUGUCUGGUCAUAUUUGUAUUGAUAGUCAGAGUAUUACAAGGCAAUAUAUAUAUAUAUAUGUGUGUACAGGUAUUGAAUUGAUUGUGGAAAAGCAUAAAGUUAGUCUCUAACUAACUAAUAAUUACAAUCUAACUAAUUUUUAAAAAACUUAAAUCAAACUACUGCGUUUUGAACUCUCCUGGCCUUUUAUUGAGACGGGGAGUUUUGGUCCUCUAUUUCUACCUUCUUUUUCCCAGUCAAGGACUUCAGUCUUCUUCUUCAUUUCUUGUCUGUGUUUCUAUCUCUUGGGAAAGCUUAUUUCACACUGCUGAUUCAAUCAAUGUUUGAUACUCCCCCUCAAGAUGAACUGUCUAUGUUAUGAACAUUCAUCUUGCUCAUCAAGAAGUGGAAUUGUCUCCGUUGGGGUGCCUUGGUGAAGAUGUCAGAUAGUUGUGACUGUGUUGAGAUGUAUAGGGGAUUAAUUAAUCCUGUCAUUACCUGUCAUUACCUUUUUUUGUAACAUUUUUAUGGUUUGCUUAUGUGAUUGGAUCUUGUCUUCUACUGUCAACAGACAUAUUGAGGUUUUUUAGUCUGAUAUGAUAAUGUAGAACUCUGCUAUUAUCUUCUAAAGAGAUUUUACAUAUUGUAGUUUUAAUAUGGAUGUUUAACUCAUUGAGCAAGAUCUGGUUUUAUCAAAUUAUUUUGUGAGUUGAAAUUAUGGAUUAGAAGCACAUAAUGCUGUCAGUUUGUUUACAGAACUUGGUUUCUGUUUGAUAAACUAAAAUUUUAAUGGUGAAAAAUUAUGUAAUAUUCAAUUACUUUACUUUUCUUUAUACUCUAUUCUGCGUAAUUGUACACUAAUUUCUAAUUAGGCUUCAACUACUUAAAUGCUUGAUAUUUGAAUUGUUGAUCUAUCUUGCUCCUUGCAUGGUAUAAAUCUUAAUAGGAUCAGAUGAUGAUAGCAUGCUGCUUUAUGUUAGUAAAGUUUAUAUUGCCAUGUUAGAAUCUUGCUUAAUUUGCCGAGCAUAUAAUUUACACUUUAAAACCAGUUAUAUUUUAUUGUUUAUUUUUGCCUGAACCUGCAGAUGUUCAGUUCCUACCAAUAUCUGGUCUUGUUGGUACUAACAUGAAAACAAGAGUAGAUAAGAGUACAUGUCCUUGGUGGAAUGGUCCCUGCCCAUUUGAAGCCCUCGAUUCUGCUGAAGUUCCUCUCAGAGAUCCAAAAGGUCCAUUUAGGUAGUAGUCCGGAGCCUAUCUUACAUAACAGGAUUCACUGCCCACACAACUUUUAUGUUUGAUUCUAGUUCCUGCCAUGUACUAGUAGCGUGUAAAUUUUAAUUCUUGGUCACUUAUAUGACACAUCUAAUGAUUUGUUAUUGACUCUAUAGGAUGCCUAUAAUUGACAAAUUCAAAGACAUGGGAACUGUUGUUAUGGGAAAGGUAGAAUCUGGAAGUGUGCGUGAGGGUGAUUCAUCAUUGGUUAUGCCAAACAAGGUGCUUGAUCUUCACAAUUUUUCCAUUUUAUUUAUGCGUAUAUGGUUUUUUAUUUUUAAUUUAUGGGGUCUGAGGAUUUUAUGCAUGGAUUGCGGGCUCAGGUGAAAGUUCUAGCUGUGUAUUGUGAUGAAAAUAAGGUUAGGUGUGCAGGACCUGGUGAAAGCUUACGGGUUAGAUUAUCUGGGAUUGAAGAAGAGGACAUAUUAUCGGGUUUUAUCUUGUCAAGUGUUGGUAAGUUUUUCUCAAUGGAGUUCUUCAUUAACCUUUACAAUCCUUUUUUCUAAUUCUACUUGUUUGUCUUUUAUAUUAAUAGUAAAUUGUAUUAGUUUUGCCUUAUUUUCGGGGUUUAAUGUUUGUUUUUCCUGCUUGCAGUAAAACCGAUAGCUGCUGUCACUGAAUUUACAGCCCAGCUGUAGAUCCUUGAGUUGCUUGAAAAUGUAUGCAUGAAUGUCAUUUUCAGUUAUCCUUAUUUAAUAAAAUCUAUACAUUUAAAGUAUAAUGUCCUAAUUAUUUGCUGUCUUGUUGAAUGUUGUUUAGGCUAUUUUUACAGCUGGAUAUAAGGCUGUGUUGCAUAUUCAUUCUGUUGUUGAGGAGUGCGAGAUAGUGGAGCUACUACAGCAGAUUGAUCCAAAGACAAAGAAACCCAUGAAAAAGAAAGUUCUUUUUGUGAAGAAUGGUGCUGUUGUUGUGUGUCGCAUUCAGGUUCGGACUCUUACUUUCUUUUAAAUAAACCAAAUUGGGGGUAUUGCUUUUUUGUACAGUUCAAUGCACUAAGUUAAACAUGUUUAGUAGCUCUGAGGGAGAUAUAAUUUUUUAGGGUACGAUCUGGAAAAUUGGCUGCAUUGUUGUAGGUAGUUUGAAAUCAAACUGAAUAAAUUGCUAGAUUGACCAAGGUGAGAAAGCAGUUGGAAAGCACUUGUUGGUGAGUUGUUUUAUCACAGGAGUAGAAGUGGAAAUAGUGGGAUAGCACUAUAAACUAAUGGUGAACCACUAACACCUCCUUUUUUGGGGCUCCACAUAUGGGAAAAAUUCUCUGAUAAAUCAGAAACAGGUAGCUGGAGCUAUGUUUCUGAGUUGGUUGAACUUGUACUUAUAACGUGGUUGUCUACUCUCUCCGAUGUGAGCACAUGUGCAUGCACAUUCUGUUUUCAGUGUAUGUUGUCUGUGUAGUGGAGAGGAGGCUGGAAAGGCCAAUCCGUAUGUUACAUACGUCAAUCAAUUAUUAACUGAAGUAAAAGAUGUUUCAGAAUGGAAGACAAUGGCUGAAUUAGUCUCUGUUUUUUCGGGGUUGAGAAAAUACUGUGUUCUUUUGCUUCUCAGGUGAACAACUUGAUUUGCAUUGAGAAGUUCUCAGAUUUUCCACAACUUGGGAGAUUCACUCUUCGUACUGAAGGUAAUGGAGACAGGCUCUUUUCAUUGCCAAUAAAUUAUUGUUCUUAAUGGCUGUGGGUCACAUGAAUUGUCAUGUCUGCAGGAAAAACCGUUGCAGUUGGAAAAGUCACUGAUCUUUCUUCAAGUAGUGGUGCUUAAUACAAUUUUGUUCUUAGAGGUGAGAAUUUAAACAUUGAAGGUUAUUUCUGCUCCUCUAUGUGAAGUUCCUUUUGGGAUCGCUGUUAUUCUCCUGCACCAUAUAUUUAAUGCAAGAGAUAACAAACCACCGAGAACAGUAUGAAAAGAGAAACAGAGUUUUGAGUUGAUCAUCAAUUGGUGAUCUUUCAAUUUAGUCUUCUAACAUAAAAUUGUAGUUGAAUAACAUUUGGUCCUUUUGGGGAUGGAGGGUUGGGAUUUUUCACCAAAAUAUUGCCUUAUUGUUGCAUCACGUACUUUUAUUGUUGUUGGAGAAUGGCUUUUGUUAUCGCUAUGCUAGUUGGUAGCACCUUUGAAGAGUUGGGGGGAUUUUGUUGUGGAAGCAUUACGCGGUUGAAAGUAGUUUACUCACAGUAUACCAUGCCAUCCGAUUCCUUUUCUCUUUUUUUUUUUUCUCUGCUAUGGUAAUAGAGGUUAAGCAGGAAAUGGGACUAGACUUUGUUUUAGGUAAUAGAGAGAGGCUGGACGCGGUUGCAGCAGAUAUUUCUAAGUUUAACUUGAGUCUGAGAGUUGUAGAAGAUAAGAAAGUUAAUUGUACUAACAGGCAGACUGCCUCGAAGGUGAGAUCGGAAAUAAUAGGGAGAGAGAAAGAUAUAAAUGACAUUAUAAAAUCAUUGUUGCACGAUCAAAAUGAUAAUCAUGGUGACAGCAUCUCCCUUGUUGCCAUUGUUGGAUUCGGAGGAUACUUGUACAGAAAUUUUUUUACUUUUAAAAAUACAACAGUAUAAAUGUACCCAAGUUAUCAAAUUUUUCUGAUUUUUCACCUUGUUAUAUCAAUUCCCAACAAUCUUUUAGAUGUUUCCUCUCUACUUUUUCAGUGAUGCUAAUGUGUGCUUGGAGGAGAUUCAUGCGACUAAGAUAUUCUCAAUAGUUAAAUUUCUUCUAUUACCAUAUGCAAAAAAUGGAGUUCAUGAACAAAUUAUUGUAAGUAGCUUCGCGUCCCCCGUUUUUAUAGGUUGAUGAAUACAAUAUCAUCUCUUAUACAAUGGGACAACUUUGGACGUUCUUGUCAUACCCUUUCAGAUGCAAAACCAGAAUUAAAUGGACAAGGAUCAUGAGCUAGAUUGCUUCUAUUACAGAGAUUCUAAGUAACUGAAACACUGGUGAAAUGAGCUGAGAUGUGAGAGUGAGAAUGCUUCUUCUUUUUACAGAUUAAUAUAUAUCUUCUUUUUUCUAUCUUCUCUUCAAGGAAAUGACUAAUAUUACAACCUCUUCCUUUCAACAAGCAGAUGGAAUGAAGUAUUAACCUUAUAAUAUUGUUUUUUCCCGAGUAUCCCUGAGGAUUUGCAACUACAAGUUUGUUAAAGGGCCUAUCUCCACAAGACUCUUGAGCUAGAAGCUAGUAAUAAUAGAAAAUAAUGUGAAAGUCUGCUUGUACAUUUCCUGCUUUUGUGAAGAAGAGAUAUUGUUACAGGUAAUGUUUCCUCCUUUUCUAGCUGUAGGAACUAGCUUUUGUAAGGAUUAUAUUAACAUAAUUUCUUUUAAUUUUUUUACGUGUUUAUAAUGGUGAUGACAUUUUUUCUUUGUUUGAAAGAGGACGAUUUCAUCUUGCUAAUUUCCUUCCAAAGUAGAACAGCUGUCGAAUUGAAACCAAGAGAAGUUUUAAUUGGUAAAAAUUUACCACUUAUUCAUUUUGUCUUACCAAUUUCAUUUGCUGGCUAUAAGAAAUUCAUACUUCUUUCUGCAUGUCUUUUUUUGGAUUAUAGAUUUUUUCUGAUAGAUCGAGAGAGUAAGAAUUGAUUUCACCUUGCCAAUGCCAUUGUGAGGAAGAGUAUUACAAUCGAUGGAUGGAAGCUUUUACUCCCAACAACGUCAUCACAUAAUAAUUUGAAGGCGUGAGUAUCUAUGUUACAGUUUGAUGGCAAUUCUAUGUGAGAUAUAAAUUUUGCUUUGAGUAUUAAUAUUUUUUUUUUGAAAGGUGAUUUUAUUCAUCCUCUGUACCGGAAUCGCAUUUCAAAUCUCUUGCCUGAUAGACCAAAGACUCCCUUGGCAUUAAGAACCCGGUAAGGGUAAAAGUAGUACAAAAACACAGAAAACACCAUCCAAGACUUGAUGGCAGCUCCAAGAGAUCAAAAGACAAGAGUCACAAAGCCCUGAAACAAAAAGAAGGGCAGCACAAUAGGUCUCUAACCUAAAAAAAGAAAAGGGCUAGAUCCUAAUCAAAAUGAUUUUUUGAUAACCUGCAACAUGUAUUCAAUGUUAUGAAUAUUAGAUAGUAGUAAAAUUUGAGACACUGUUGGUCACUUUCAUCAACUUGCAAGACAGCCUAAGACCUAAUUAAGGAAUAUGGCAUAAAAAAUUGGCUCCACGAACUCAACUUCUCCGGACCCAGCAACUUAAUAACUAAGUCCUAAUAUAUUCAAAGUGCAUUUGCUGUCAUUUUAGAACUGUACAAAAAUAAAACAUAAAUAACUUUUGAGUAUUUAAAUUCAAUAAAGGCUAGCUCAUGAAAAUAAUUGAACAGCUUAACCUCUGGUUUCUUUUUAGAUAACAUUGAGUACACAGCAUGCAACUCUUUCACCUUUUCUUCCCAAGAAGUGAGCCUCGGUCUAACGAUCUUGAAUUCAAGGUGAAUUGGCUUUUCAUUUUUUGCUCUAUUAUAUAUGAGGAAUUUGCUGUGUAUGGAAUCUUCAAUAUUUUUUCAUUGCUCUAACGUUUAAGAUUUUCAUUUUCCAUAUAUAGAAAAAGAAGAGGUGCCAAUGACUUGCCCACCAACUCCCUUCUGAGCAUUUUUGAAAAGCAGGUAUUCUCAAAAGCAUAUCUAUUGCAAAAAUGAUGACUAUAUAUUAUAGCUUCUUUAGUUUUUGUUCUUGACUUUUUGCAUAUCUUUGUCCUCAAUGCUUCUUUAUAACAACGGUUUUUUUUACUAGUUAUCUGUGAGUGGAGUCAAACAACACUUGCUAAGUAAUGGCUCGAGUGAUCGGAAGAAGUGCGUUGAGCUAAGCUCGUUGUAAAACCCCUUUGCUUCUUUCAAAAUAUCAAUAAUGCUUCCAUCUUGGCCAUUCUUGGAGGUAUUUGUGUAGUGGCUUCAAUCCUAGUCUUUAGACCUUGACUAUAGUAACCUAAACUGUGAAGGGACCUAAAUACAAAGGUUCUUCCAUAAUGUAUAUGGAGAAGACUUUUGGGAUAUUGUUCCGAGAUUUCCUAUAUGCUACAUUUGGGUGUUGCAACUAUGUAAAUUCAUGUGCGUUUUAUUAUACUAGAUUGUUUGCUUACUUUUUAUCAUCAAAUUUAAUUUGCUAUGGUAUCGAUGUUUUACACUAGGUUAUUUGCCAAAGGAAUGGUAUAACCUGUUUUCAUAUUCCAAUUAACAAAUUGUCAAAAAUAAUUUGUCAAUUUUUUUUUGCUUCAGCAAGUUCAUCAAACUUAUCUUAUAAGUAAUAUGUUCAAUCAUUAUAUUGAAAAUCUUAUAUUAAAAUAAUAUCUUAACAAGUUUUCUGAAGACACUCAUGAAUAAAAUAUAUCCUUUAUUUAUUCAUUAGAAAGAUCUCCUACAAGUCCAUAAACAGCUACCUCAAUAAAUUGAACCAUCAAGAUGAAGCAAAAUGUAAUUGUACAUGUUCCUUUUGCAUUAAGGAUUAAUUUGCUAUAAAUUCUCAGUUUUUUUUUUUUUCCUUGAAUUCUAAGUUUUCAGACAGUGCAAAAAGUGGGAUGGAUGAAGAUUAUUGAAAAGAAAAAUCACUCCAAGUGUAGAUUAUAAAGCUAGAAUCUUUCAGACUUGAAACCUACCCUUGCCUGGCGUUCUCAGGUCUAUUUGUUUCCUAGCAGGCUGCAUUAGGUAAGAUCUCCUUGGUGGGCAAUAAACUAUAGCAGGAUGAAAGUUAUUGGAGAAGAGUUAACCAAGUUGGCUACAAAAACAAGAAUCGCUGAGGAAAAAAAAAUUCUAAUCAGUCAUAAAACUAAUAAAACUCUGUUCCUAGAAUUAAAAAUCAAAAGUUGGGGAAUAUUAGUAGAAUUCCGUGUUCCACUAGUUUUUAUUUGAUUUCAACAAUAUAAAUAUAUUUUCUCUGCUUUGUUAAUUAAUUGACUAUUAUUCAUUCUUUUUUUUUUAAAUCAAAAAGAAUGUUAUUGCAUAAUUAGGAUUAUCCAAAAGGAUAAGUCUCAAAUCAAAUAAGUACGUAAGAAAACAGAGCCCUGUACGUAAGAAAAACAAUAAAGCAGGACCCAACAAGAAAACAGAAGAAAAGGACGAUUAUUCAUACACCUACUCUUAUUAAUAAUCAAUUGAUUAUAAUAAUUACCAAGUUGCCAAUAAUUUUGGCUUUGUAGCUUUGGCAUUUUACCUUUCUCAAUGCGACGACGUUGAGCCAAGUUGCCUAUAAUUUUUCCAUCUGUCCUACACCGACUCUUAUUACUUUGACGUCAUAUAUAGAGUUUACAUUUAAGCAUCGUCUUCUAUCAUCUCCACAUCUGCGAGCUGCACUGCCCCCAAAGACUUUGAUUUCUGCCUUACUCUUCCAUUUCAUUUUCCUUCAUUUUUCCACUUUUCUCUCAGCUCAAAAGAAAGAAAAAAAAAAGCAUCUCUGUUGGUUUAUUUUCGUUGGCUUCUACUUUCCUAAUCUUCUUUUAUCUCAGAAAAAAAAACAAAAAAAUUGUUCUCUUAAAUUACUUGUUUUAUCCCUGCUACUCUUCCUUUCCUUAAUUUUGGUUUCCCCAUCUCCGGAGUUGGUGAAGUAAUUCCAUAAGAAUUAAGAUCCAUCUGAAUUAAGGUAAGCUUCAAUAAAAUAUAUUAUAUUUUCGGUAAUAUAAUUUUUUUAUAUGCUCAAUUUCUCUUAUUAUUUAUUUGGCUUCUUGAUUUAUUCAAUGGAUAGAUAAAAUUGAGAGUUUAUCUUUGAUGCAUCGACAAUAUAUAAUUUUUAUACAAUAUCAAUUCACCACAAUGCAGCAUCUCGUUAAGAAGUAAAAAUAGUAGAAUCAAAUUAAAAGAUAAUUGACAUAAUACCUAAAAAAGCCUUGAAACUAUUUUAAAAAAUUCAACUAAUUUUUUUUUUUUUUUGCCUAUGAUCUAGACUUUAUAUUAUAAUUAAUAGUUGAUUAAUUAUUUUUAAUUAAAAUGUCAAUUGUAAUGCUAAGUGAAAAGAUAUAAUAAAAUAUAAAUAGAUAUUUAAAAUUUUGAAAAAUAUUUUAUAGGUGGAUAUAUUAUCUUUUUACCCUAUCAUGUUAGAUAUAUGAGUGUGAUUAAUUUCAGAGGAAUUGAUAUGACCUUCCAGAAAUUGAACUACACAAUUAUGAAUGUGGCUCCCAAGCUUAUGCCAAUAUUUCUGGUAGACUUACGCAAGUAUCCCAUUUGGUCCAGAAGCCUUUGUAGAGUGCAUUAGGAACAAAGCACUCUUCAGUUCCUCCACUGAAAUACUAGCAUUUAAAUCAACAUUCAUCUAGUCCGUUAUUUUUUACCGUAUUCCAAACAAGGCUGCGUCUAUCUGUAAUUGACCUGAAGAAAAAAACAAGCCAAUGAAAAAGUCAUUAAUAAUCGAACUCAAUUCACUUGCGAAAUCUGUCCAUUCAUCAUUCUCUUUCUUCAAAGCUCAAAUGGUGUUUUUCCUCCUCCUCUCCUUUGCUGUUCCAAGGAAGAACUUGGUGUUCUUGUCACCUUUUUUCAACCAUGUUACCCUAGAUCUCUGUUUCCACAUCAUCUCUUCCACUUUUACCAAUUGAUUGAUCUAAUUUUGAACAAUUUUAAUUUUUAAAGAGUAGCCAGUUCUUUCAUAAAACUGUUGUAGUUCUAUUCUUUUUCACUUCAUUUGCUUCUCAUCUCCUGUAUAGAUUUAGUUUAUUUUAGUUAUUAUUUUUUGCAAUAUUUUUAUCAUAAAUUUUACUUAAUAUGAUUCAUGUGCAUAUUGGACAUUCCAUAGUAUAAAUGUGUUGUGAAAAUUGCCCAAGAAUCAACAAAGAUAAAACUCAGAGAAAUUAAGUAAACAGAAAAAUAUAAGAAUUUAUGUGGUUCGACCUCUUGUCUACGUCCACGGAAUAAAACUGUUCUUCUAUUAUUGAGAAUUUAAAGUACAAUAAAUUCAUCUUUAUGGUUCCCCAAACCAACCCAAGAUUCCUUGCACACUCUUCUUCAAUAACCUCACAAGAACACUCACCCAAACCACUUUCGCUCCACCUAGAGCAAAAGACAGAAUUACAAAAUGUUUCCUCUCUAGAGCUCUCAAAGCACUACUUGCAAUUCUAAAGCCUAAAAAUCUACUUUUAUAGUAUAAAAGUUCAAAGUAGAAUGUGAUUAGGAUUCGAUGUGGAAUAAAAAGUUUAAAACUAUACAACUACUCAAUGUUAUACACAAACAAAAAAUCCUAAACAAAUAAGAUUUAGAAUUCUAGUCAACCUGAAACUCAACAAAUCUUCACAUUUGACUUGAAUUCAAACUUCUUAAACCUCUUCCACUAGUCGCACCUAAUUGCAACUUCCUAACUCCACUUACUUUCCAACACCUUGGACAACUCUCCAAGCAUAAGACUUUUUAAAUCAUUAGCCUUUAUAAUUACCACGACUUCACAUACUGAAUCAAGUAUGGUCCAACACUGGAUUCUACAAAACAGCCAAUGCACCUGUGUAGCCGUCAAGUCAAUGGCACUAAUUAACUUCGGAAAGGGACCUUGACGACCCUUCCAAUUCACUACUGGUAAGAUUUUUCAUCCUUUCACCAUCAUCUACACCAUGGGAAUCUUUCAUCACCUCUUCGGCAAAUGAAAUCUCACUUUGAUAGCUACCAUCCCUAGUGCAUUGUUCCCAUCUUUUCGAGGCCUCACAUUCUAGACGAUACAAGUCAUUAUGCAAAUUCUCCCUCAUCAGGACCAUGUCGCCUUGUGUGACUUUUACCACUCCAUCACAAGCAGAAUAUCCAUACCUUUUGGAGUCUAACAGGCUCAAUGAUAUUAGAUUCUUACGCAUCUUUGGGACAUAGGCCACACCAUCCAAAGAGCGCACAACCCCAUCAAACAUUUUGAUUUUCACCACUCCAAGACCCAUGAUCUUCACUAUUGACUUAUUACCCAAAGUCAAAUUCCCAGCCACCCCUUCUUGAAGUAAAUCAAAAUAAUCUUUUUGAUAACAUAUGUGAGUAGCAAAAGCAGAAUCUAAAUACCAAUCAGAAUUUGCAUCCAUAUUUUCUGAGAUUGUAAGGACAUCACAAUCAUCACCUUCAGCAACGAAAGCACACUCACCUUUAUUCUCAUUACUUUCAUCCCAUUUUGUAGGACAAUCCUUUUUAAUAUGCCUAUACCUUUUGCAUUUAAAGCAUUGAACAUUGUUAGAUCUAGACUUGUCACCCUUAGAUCCCUUACCAGUUGACUUCCUCCUAUUAGCCUCAAUUACCAAUGCCAAGCCAUUUGGAUCUCUAUCCCCUUCUUUACUUUUCUUUCGGGCUUCAUGAGACAUUAACGUUGUUUGUACUUGUUCUAACAUUAUUGUAUCGAUUUCACAUAUAAGAGAUUCCACAAAUACCUUAUAGGAGUCUGAAAGCGAAGCCAGGAGCAAUAGUGUCUUUUCCUCUUCCUCCACCUUGACAUCAACCUUCUUCAACUGAUCAAAGAUUCCAUCGAAUUCAUUCAUAUGCUUCAUGAGGUCUCCAUUCUCUUCCAUCUUUAAGCGAUACAACUUUCGCCUAAGCUGCAACUUGUUAGAAAGACUUUUCGCCAAGUAAAUUUUUUUUAACUUUGUCCAUAAUCUUGAAGUAGAAUCCUCAUCAAUAACAUGGUUAAACACAUUAUCUCCAAUGCAAAGUCGAAUAAUGCUCACACACCUUUGCUCCAACUCUGCCCAUUCAACAUCUUUCAUGUCAUCUGGUUGCCCUUCCUCUUUUCCUAGCAAAAGACGCAUUAAACCUUGCUGCACAAGGAGAUCUUUCAUCCUUCUCUACCACUGCGUGAAACUAGUCUUACCAUCAAACUUCUCAAUUGAAAAAUUCGUAGAACUAGUAACUUUCGACAUCCUUAUUGAAUCUUGAAUUUACAGAACCCGAAGCUCUGAUACCAGUUUGUUGUGGAAAUUACCCAAGAAUCAACAAAGAUAAAACCCAGAAAAAUUAAGUAAAUAGAAAAACACAAGAAUUUACGUGGUUCGGCCUCUUGCCUACGUCCACGGAGUGAAACUGUUCUUCUAUUAUUGAAAAUUUAAAGUACAAUAAAUUCAUCUUUAUGGUUCCUCAAACCAACUCAAGAUCCCUUGCACACUUUUCUUCAAUAACCUCCCAAGAACACUCACCCAAACCACUCUCGCUCCACCUAGAGCAAAAGACAGAAUUAUAAGGUGUUCCCUCUCUAGAGCUCUCAAAGCACUACUUGCAAUUCUAAAGCUUAGAAAUCUAUUUUUAUAGUAUAAAAGUAAAAAAUAGAAUGUAAUUAAGAUUCAAUGUGGAAUAAAAAAUUUAAAACUAUACAACUAUUUAAUAUUGUACACAAACAAAAAAUCUUAAUCAAAUAAGAUUUAGAAUUCUAGUUAAUCUAAAACUCAACAAAAUAUAUAUAUAUGUAUAUCUUCAUUAGAUAUGUAACAUUAAUUGGUAAACAAACUGGCUGAGAACUUUCUCUCUAAAAUCAAAUCAUGCAUGAAUAGAGAGGGUAGAAUCUUAGUAAAAAUACUAGUAUUAAUUUUGAAAUUAACUCAAACUCAAAGUAAUUGUUUAAAAGGGCAACCUGAAUGCGACGUGAUGUGUGCAGUCAUUACAGCUGGAAGAGAGGUAUGGGUUUGAAUCAGGUAAAGAAGCCAAAGAGGGGUGCUCCUACAUUUUUCUACUUUUUGUUUAUGAUCAGAAGAACCUGAGGUAACAUAUAAAUAUGCAUUGAUAAUCCAACUAGAUCUGCGGCUGUUGUUUGGACAACAAGAGAAAAGGGUAGCUCGGGAACUGAGCAUGCCACUGCCAUGGCCCCUCUCUUAUUAACUCUUUCAACCACGUUCAUUCAAAGUCUAUCCCUAAGCUGUCCUGUCACUGGUGACGGACCCUAUAAUCAACUCACCUCCAAUUGAACCAACUGCACAUGAUUUCUUCCUUACAAUGUCUAGAAAUUUCAUAAACAAUAAAAACAAAACGAAGUUAAUUUAAUAUAUUAUCAACAUUUAUCUAUAUAAAAGUUGAUUUUAUUCGAUUUUUUAUUGCCUCACACGUGUAUAUAGAUAACGAUUGCAUGAUGUGAUAUCAGGAUCACUAGCAGAGACCAUUGCUGCUAACUGAAACACACUAAGCAACUUGAAGAAAGUUGAUGCCAUGCCAUGAUUGGUAGCACUACACUUUUACGUGAAGCUGGUUGAGAAAAGAUUGUGUUUUUGCUUACACAAAUCUUCCUGGAGCAAGUACUUAUAGAGUAAUCAGCUGAGAAUUCUAUGUCAAAAUUGAGAAUAUCCUAUAUGAUCAAAUUCAUGGGCAACAAGAACACUGUAUUUUCCAUUGGCCAGCAUUACAUGAAUAUCUUUUAUAUUAACAAUCAAAUAUAAAUUUUUUCUCAAAAAACGAAAAAGAAAAAAAUCAAAUACCAACCGAAAAUUUUAACAAGUCUUCUUAAAACACUCCUAAUAAAAUAUAUCUUUUAUUUAUUUCUUUGAAAAAAAAAUUCUAAUUAUUGAUAUUCACUUUUUUUUUUUGUAUGAAGACUUUUCCAGUAGCUAAGUUUCCAAGUCUGAGAUUAGUAAUGAAUACACACCUUUGCAAUUGCAUUGCAGAUUCUUAUCAAAAAAUUAAUAAUAAUAAUAAAAAUUAUUCUUAAGCAUCCUUUCAUUGUUCUUUUUUGUUUUUUGUUAUUACUUUUUUUUAUACAACUGUUUGUCUUUUACUUCUUAAAAUUUUACUAUUAGUUAUAAAUUAUUAAAUGAAAAAUAAACGAUAAAAAGGUUAAAUCAAUAUUAAUUAAGAAUGAAUAAAUGAUUAAGAUAUAACUAUCAAUAAAUGUUGGUAAAUACUUUUACUUUUUAAUUUUUAGUCAUAAUUUCAAGUGAGUGUAUUAAUUUUUAAAUAAACAGCUGAUUCCAAACAUAAAAAUGACGUUAACGAGCAAAUGUGAAAUGUCAAAAAUAAUCUUAUUCUUUCUACCUCUUUUUCUUUUUUUUUUAAGAUUAGUUGACGGUGCUCUUUAUGCCGAUCGACCACCCUCGCAUCCCCCUUACCCUCAUGCCACCCCCACCCCACCCCUCUUCUAAGGAGCACAGAUCUGACACUCUCCAGGGAAGCUCCCCCCCGCCCCUCCUUUGGUGCUCGUCGAGGGUGGGGGGGCGCGACUCCUCUAGGGAACGUUGGAACAAUGGCGGGGGGAAAGUGGAGCGCAAGGGAAGGGAGAUCCAGUUGGAACCAAAUCUAGUGCUCCGACUACUAGAAAAGGUGGGAGAUUUUUUUUUAAUAGGAAAUACUAUAAUAAAUUUGACUUAAGACAAUACAUUUUUAAAAUAUGUUAUUAAAAAAAUUUUAAUAAUAUUUUUUUAUAUUUUUUAAAAUAUUUUUAUAGAUCUAAUUUUAAUAUAUAAAAUUUUAAAUAUAUUAUUAAUAAAAUAUGAAGAUAGAAAUUACAUACACCAGUAAAGAUUGUACUUUUUAUAUUACUAUUAAAUUUGACAAAAAUGAAGUUAAAAAUUUAAAUAAUUACACUUUUUAAAAUUUUACUACACAAAAAAAUAUAUCGUCCAAAGAAAUGUAAUUAAAAUUCAAAAUUUUUAUAGUUAAAAAAAUUAAAAAUUAUAGUUUAUAUAGUAUGAUAGUUUUUAAAAUUAAUAAAAAGUAAAAUUAUAUUUUUAAUAUUACCACUUUAUCAACUUAAUGGAAAUAUUAAAAGUUUGAUUAAGAGCUGGAUUUAUGCAUUGAGCGAAAGAUAUUCUUUUAAGACAAACUGUCUAUUUCAAAAAUUAAUGAAUUAGUGUGAAUUUAUAAUUAAACGUUAAAAGGUAAAAGUAUUUUAUCCAUAAAUGUUUUAUUUAAACAUGCUCAUUAGGUCAAGUCUACUAAAUCUUUCAUUAUUAUAUAAUUAGGAAAAAUGUGUUAAACAAAGGUAAGUCAGAAUUUAAUUUUAGUGUUAUCUUAGUAAAUUUCAUUUUAGAUAGCCAUUAAACUAUGUUUUACUUCGAGUGAUUUUGGGUUCCAAUAAUUAUGCCUUAUAGUUGCUUAUUCACUCGAAAUUUUUUUUAUGAAAAGAAAACAAUUGUCAAAUAAAAUGAAAUAAUUAUUGAAUUUUUUUAAAUCUCUUAUGCAUAAUCAUAGUACUUAUGGUGUAAUAUUAAUUGGUCAAAUGAUGGUGAGAAUUACAAGCAUCAAAAGGUUAUGAAAGGAAUGAAGGCAAGUUAAAUUUAUCAUAGUAAUGAAAAAAUAAAUAAAUAAAGAGAAGCUCAGGUUUUCCAUUGAUAUAUAAGCAAGGAACUUGGAAAAUAAACUGGCUGAGAACUCUCUCUAAAAUCAAAUCAUUCAUGAACAGAGAGGAUAGAAUCUUAGUAAAAAUAUUAGUAUUAAUUUUGAAAUAAACUCAAACUCAAAGUAAUUGUCGGCAAGGGAAAGCUGAAUGCAACGUGAUGUGUGCAGUCAUUACAGUUGGUAGCGGGGUCUGGGUUCAGACUUCAGACCAAACUUUGCAGUCAUGUCAGUGGUGAGAGAUCCAAUAAUUCAACUCUCCUUCAAUUGAACCAACUUUUUCUUUGUGCACAUCAGCACAUGUAAUCAUAAACUCAACUUUUUCAUUUGAAGCUCAGCAGAACGACGGUGGAUGUGAGGUGGGUUGAGGGUGCCUGCCGCAGGGCACUCCAAAGUGGCGAAGGGACACCAUGGCCAUUGAGGCCAGAGAACUCCAUCAUGCUAGCUUUGGUAACCUAACACUAUGACUUUUUCCAAGUCAGUUUAGGUUUUAUAUAUUUUAAUUAUUCUUUUCCCCUUUGGAUAAUGCCUUGGACUGUUGUAAUUAUGGCCACCAUCAAAUGUGAUUUUGAAUCGGGUAAAGAAGGCAAAGGAGGGAUUGUCCUGCAUUUUUCUACUUUUUAUGAUCAGAAGAGCCUGCUUGCAUUAGAGCUGUCAAUAUGGGCUGACCCAGCUCAGCCCAGCUCAAGAUUUUGUGGAUUAAGAAAAAAUAGAUCAGAUCGGAUCAGUCUAUUUUUAUAUGGAUCAUGAAAAUCUCAAUCCAACCCAUCUUUUGUUAGUCUAUGUGUUGGGUUGGGUCAAUUUAUUUUUUAUUUUUUUUAAAAAAUUAUUUUUAUAAUUUUAUAAUAAAAUUAUUUUAUAAUUUAAUUUAUAAAUUAAAUAUUAAUAAUUAAAUUAUAAAAAUAUUAAAAUAUAAANAUAAAAUAAAUAAUAUUAUUAAUAAUUAAAUUAUUAAUUUUAUAUAAUUAAAUAUAUAAAAUUAUUAAAUUAAUUAAAAUUAUUUAUUUUUUUUAACUCACAAAACUAGCCUGCCUCAGUCCAUCUUAAUUCACUGAUUUGAUAAACUGAUUUAUUUAAAUUCGAUUUAAAUAUAAAUAUAAAUUUUUAAAUUUAAUUUAUUUUAUAUUUAAUAAAAAAUAAAUUGACCCAGUUUAGGAAUAGCUUGCAUUGAUAAUUAAAGUAGAUCGCUGUCGCUUGGACAGCAAGAGAAAAGGGCAGCUCACUGAGUAUGCCACUUGCAUGGGCCCCUCUUAUUAACUCUUUCAACUACAGUCAUUCAAAGUCUAUCCCUAAGCUGUCCUGUCAGUGGGGACAGACCCAAUAAUUCAACUCUCCUUCAAUUGAACCAACUUUUUACCUUGUGCACAUGUAUCCUUCUUUACUUCCAAUGUCUAGAAAUUUCAUAAACAAUAAAAAUAAAACGAAAUUAAUUUAUCAACAUUCAUCUUUAUAGACUUAAGUUUUUGAUUACCAUGUUAAGUUUGCUUGCGCUCCUGUUAUCUGCUUUAGAUUCAUUUUCAACUAAGUUGUAGAUCCAUGGCGGAAGUAAUUCCAUUCGGGGCAGUAAGUAAUAUCGUGUUGAGUUUCCUAGCAAGUCCCAUCCUCUUGUCAUAACACUUCCUGGAAAGCCAAGCAAGGUCCUUGAUAGAACAUCCGAGAGAGAAUCAGUCAAAGUUUAUUAAUUAUCUAUACCAACUCUCGUCCUAUUGUAGCUGGGACUCAAUCAAAGGAAAGAGAAUAAAUUUAAUUGGUUAAAAUAUGAAGUUAAUUUGAUAUAAUUAGUUAGAAUUUUCUUAAUUCUAUUAGACUUAAUUCGAUUUUUGUAUUAAACUGAAUUCUAUCAAGUAAGGGUCAUGGAGCAAAAGAUGUUUGGAUCGUUGUUAUUUGAAUAAAAGAAAGUGACAGUAAAAAUCGAGAUUGAGAAAUAAACCAAUAAUUCAAAAGUGCUCAUGAUUCAGUGUUCCACUGGUGGAAAAAGAGCGAAAAGCAGUGUUUGGGUGCUGACAAUUUUCAAAGUGUGGACCCACUAUCACGUGUUCUCUCCGGAAGAAGAGAAAGAGGUGGAAAAGGGGGGAUUCAUUUCCAAAAGUUUCCUACACACUGCCAUCACGCGACCCCCAUCCUCUUUCCAUGACACUUCCUGGAAACAAAAGCAGAACAUCUGAGACAGAACCAUCAAAGUUUAAUAAUUUUCUAUACCCACUUUUAAUACUUCAUCCUCAUACGGUUCCCAUUCAAGCAUCUUGUUCUAUCAUCUGCACUAUCCCAAGAGUUUGUUUGAUUUCUGCAUGCCUUGCUCUUCUUUUUACUCAACAAGACCUACCCUUCCAUUUUAUUGUCCUUCAUUUUCCCACUUUUCUUUGAACUCCGAGAACAAAAACAUCUUUGUUGUUUAACUCUAACAAAAAAAAAAAACAAAAAAAAAGUUAAUCUCUUAAAUUACUUUAGUUUGAUCCUUGUUACCUACUUUUCCUUUCCUUAAUUUUGAUUUCCCUAUCUCCGGAGUUGGUGAAGUCAUUCCAUCCCAAUUGAGGUAAGCUUCAAUAAAAUAUAUUACAUUCUUCAUAUUUUAUUUUUUUAUAUGUUCAAUUUCUCUUUCACUUCUGAAUUUGACUUUUUAUUAUAAAUUUUUUAUUUAUUAUAAAUUUUCAUUUUUUUUCCAUUUUUACGGACAUAUAUGGAUAUUUUCGAAAAGCAUUUUAUAGAAUGAUGACACUAUGCUUUUAGUUUAAUAUAAAAAAAUAUUUUUAAUUAAUAUACACAUGAUUAGUGACAAGAAUUUUUAUUUCUGCAGUAUUUUCGAUUCCAAGUUGGUCAGUCAGCAAUCUAUUCUCUGGUGAUUCACAUUUUCAUAAAGGUAAAGUGCUUUACAAACAUUUUUUCUCUCUGCAAAACUUUUUACUCUCUAAAAUUAAAACCAAGCAUAUUUUUAUUUUAUGAAAGUUUCAACUGAUCUUUAAUUAAAAUAUAUAACACGUUUUAAUAACUUAAAAUUUUGAAGCUUGAAAUAUUAAUAUUACUUAUUAAUAACAAUAAUUUUUUUAUAUAAAAAAUGGAAAAGGGGCGAAGUCAGUAGUUUCCUAAGACAAACGAUUUGAGCACUUGUCUUCCGCUAAAAUUUUGAAAUUGAAUAAGAAAAAGUAUUUAUAUUUAUGUACUAACCGUAUAUAGUUUUAAAAUAAAUAUUAAAAAAAUUUUAAUAACUAAUUAGAGAAAUAUUGUGGAGGCAUAAUCUAAUAAAAAUAUGAAUUAUUGCAAUGGUAGCCCAUUUUUGGUACUUCAAUUUUUGGCCUUGAUCUUCUGAACAAAACAUAUUCCAGUGGAUAGAUUUCCAAGUCUAAGAUUAACUAUGAACACACCUUCGCAAUUUGCAUUGCACAUUCCUACCAAAAAUAUUAAAAAAUAUUCUUAAGCUUCCUUUUAUAGUUUGAUUUUUUUUUUACAAUUACUUUUUUAUUUCUUAAAAAGUUAAGUGAGAAAUAAAUGACAAAAAAGUGAAAUGACAAAUUAAUUAAAAAUGAGUAAAAGAUUAGGGUAAAAAUAAAUAAAUAAAUGAUAAAAUUGUAUUAAAACUAAAGAGAUCUAUUUCAUUAUUUAGAAUAUUAUAUNCAAAAAAGUGAAAUGAUAAUUAAUUAAAAAAGAGAAAAUGACUAGGGUAAAAAUAAAUGAAUAAAUGGUAAAAUUGUAUUAAAACUAAAGAGAUCUAUUUCAUUAUUUAGAAUAUUAUAUAUAUACAUUUAAUUUAUCAAAACUUAUUUUGAUUUAUUCAAACAUGCUUAUCAGGUGAAGUCCGUUAAGUCUUUCAUUACCGUGUUAGUUUGCUUGCAUUUCCCUGUCAUCUGCUUUAGAUUCAUUUCAACCAAGUUGUAGAUCCAUGGCGGAAUCAAUUUUAUUCGGGGCACUCAGUAACAUCUUUUCCAAGUUGAUGUGGCUUGCUGGGCAAAAGAUUGGCUUGAUUUUCUGGCAGAAAGGCGAACUGGAUAAGCUUCAAAAGACUCUCGACAUCAUAAAAGCCGUCAUUCUUGAUGCUGAGGAGAAGCAGGAGAGCAACCUUGUUGUGAAAAACUGGAUAAGUAGACUGGAAGAUAUUGUCUCUGAUGCAGAGGACUUACUGGACGAAUUCGACUAUGAGAUCCUGCGCCAGAAGGUGCGUCCACGGGGACAGGUACGCAAGAUCUUUCGAUCCUUCAGGAUGGGUCCUAGAGUUAAGGAGAUUAGAGAGAGGCUGGACGUGGUUGCAAGAGAGAUUAAAACGUUUGAUUUUAAUGUGAGAGUUGUAGAACUGGAUAAGAAACGUAAGAAUACUGACAGAGAGACUGCCUCAAAGGUGAGACCGGAAUUAGUAAUAGGGAGAGAGGAAGAUAAAGAGCACAUUAUAGAAUUGUUGAAGGAGCAAAAUCAUGGUGACAGCAACUUCAAUAUUAUUGCCAUUGUUGGGUUUGGAGGUUUAGGAAAGACCUCGCUUGCCCGGUUGGUGUAUAACGAUGCGCAAGUAGCAGAUUCCUUCAAAGGGAUAUGGGUGUGUGUUUCUGAAGAAUUUAAUGUUCUUAUAAUUUUCAAAAAAAUUUUGAAGUGUCUAGGAGAACACAAAGUGGAUGACUGGAAUCUAAAUGAAGUCCAAAAAGAAAUUGAACAAAAGUUAAAAGGGAAGAGAUAUUUACUUGUGUUGGAUGAUGUGUGGAACGAAGAUAUUUUAAAGUGGAAUGAUUUUUCACAGUAUAUGGUAUUUGGUGCUCCCGGAAGCAAAAUUAUUGUGACAACUCGUAGCACCAAAGUUGCAGCUACUAUGGGGGUACACAGUCCUUUCCUUUUAAAAGGUCUCAAUGAGGAACAAUCUCAGGAUUUGUUUGAGAAAGUGGCAUUUGAAGGACGUCAAAUCGAUCCAAAGCUUGGACAAAUUGGAAAAGUUGUUGCACAAAAAUGCAAAGGAGUUCCUCUUUCUAUUAAAUGUUUAGGAGGUUUGAUGAGACAAAAGCCUGAUGAAAAAUACUGGUUGUUUGUCCAAGAAAAUGAAAUUUGGAAUAAUGAUGAUGUUUUGUCGGUGUUAAGAUUGAGUUACAUUCAGCUACCAAGUAAUUUAAAACAAUGUUUUGCUUUUUGUUCGCUUUUCUCAAAAGACUCUAGGAUAUAUAAAGAUGAGUUGAUUCAUUUUUGGCGAGCACAAGGUUACAUUCAAUUAGGGAAUAAAAAUGAGAAUGUACAAGAUAUUGGUGAUGAAUACUUUAAUGAUUUGCUGUCAAGAUCAUUUUUUCAAGAGGAGAGGAAAGAUGCAAAUGGGAAUAUCAUCUAUUGUAAAAUGCAUGAUCUUAUUCAUGAUCUUGCAUUAUUCGUUGCUGGUCGUUAUUUUCAUUGGAUGAAAAAUAAAAGAGAAAAAAUUUCAAAAGGAGUCCGUCAUGUGUCAUUAGAAAAAUAUUUUACAGUUGUUUUCACUCGAUCGAAAGCAAAAGUGAUAAGGACUUUAUUUCUCCGAGCAGACAUUUUCAUGGACUUAUUUAAUCGAAAGGUAACUUUUUCGAUCUUCAAUUGUUUACGCAUGUUGAAUUUGAAUUUGAUGAACAUUAAUAUUUUACCAGAUUCAAUUGGUGAACUGAAGCAUUUGAGAUACCUUGAUCUUUCUAGGAAUACUAGGAUGAAAGUGCUCCCAGAUGCAAUAGUCAAAUUGCACCAUUUGCAAACUCUAUUACUCAAUGGCUGCAGCAGUCUUAAAAAGUUACCAAGGGAUAUACGCCAAUUGAUUAGUUUGGAAUAUCUCAAAAUUGAUUAUUGCAAAGACCUAUCCGGCUUGCCAAAAGGGUUAGGGGAAUUGACUUCCUUACAAAGAUUGGACAGAUUUGUUGUGAACUGUGUUGAAGACAAUUUAUCAACUGCAGCCACGUUGAAUGAGUUGAGUAACCUAGACCUUGGAAACUGCUUGAAAAUUGAUCAUUUACACAAUGUGAGGAAUGUGGAAUUAGAAUGUAAGGAGGCAAAUUUAAAGAAAAAGAAACGGCUUCAGUCUCUGCAAUUAUCUUGGGAAUCUUCCUCUCCAACAACAGUGGCUAGUGAAAAGGAUGAGUCAUUGUUAAAUAUUCUUGAGCCACACCCGAAUUUGAAAGGGCUGAAGGUAUCCGGUUAUGGAGGAGCAAGGUUUUCGAGUUGGCUAUCUUCAUUGACUAAUUUAGUCGAACUUGAUAUAAACAAAUUUUGGAAUUGUCGAGACCUGCCACCCUUGGAUCAUUUUUCAUCUCUCAAGUCUCUCAGUCUUUAUCGUUCCAAUGCUUUAAAACACCUGCCACCCUUGGAUCAUCUUUCAUCUCUCGAGUCUCUUUCUCUUGGGGAGUUAGAUGCUUUAGAAUAUGUGGCAGAUUCUUUUUCCUUGCCUUGCUCCACUUCAAGAGAACCAUUCUUCCCGUCCCUUAAGAAACUUUUGAUCCGUGACUGUCCCAAUCUCAAAGGAUGGUGGAAGACAACGAAUGAGAACCAAGGAUCAAUCGCUGAGCAGCCUUGCUUUCCUUGCCUUUUCCAGUUAGAAGUCAAAAAUUCCCCAAACUUAACCUCCAUGCCGCUGUUUCCAUCUCUCGAGCAUGAUUUGACUUUGUAUGAUACUAGUAUAAGGCCUUUGGAACAAACAUUGAAGAUGAAGAUGACCGAGGCUAGCAUGACAUCAGAAGAAGCAUCAUCUUCAUCAGGGAGCGCUUGUCAUUCAUAUUCUUCAACUACCUUUCCUCUCUCCAAUUUGAAGCGUCUGAGUCUUCAAGGCAUUAAGGAUUUAGAAGUUUUGCUAGAAGAGUUUCUACAAAAUCUCAGUUCUCUUGCGUGCUUAUGGUUGAGCAACUGCCCUAUAUUAGAAUCGUUAUUGCCGCAAAAGAUGAGCUGCCUCACCUCUUUACAAUAUUUGUGUGUUACAAAUUGCCCUAAUCUGAGGGCUUUGCCUGACUGGAUACUCAAUCUCACUUCCCUUAAAACAGUUGAAAUUCGGGGGUGCCAUGAAUUACAGUACAUGCCAGAAGGGACGCCUCAGCUUACAUCUUUAGAAAAAUUAUCUGUUUGGAACUGUCAUAAUUUGAGGGCUUUGCCAGACUGGAUACUCAAUCUCACUUCCCUUAAAACACUUGAAAUUUGGGAGUGCGGGUCAAUUUUGCAUCAAGCCUUAAAAACCCACAUUAAAAGUGGGCCGAUUCGAAUUUGCAGCNGUAGGCAAUUGCCCUAAUUUGAGGGCUUUACCUGACUGGAUACUCAAUCUCACUUCCCUUAAAACACUUGAAAUUAACGGGUGCCUUGAAUUACAGUACAUGCCAGAAGGGACGCAUUGGCUUGCAUCUUUAGAAGAAUUAAUUGUUUACUGCCAUAAUUUGAGGGCUUUGCCAGACUGGAUACUCAAUCUCACUUCCCUCAAAGACCUUUAUAUAUGCGAGUGCCUUCAAUCACCGUACUUGCAAGGAGGGAUGCAAAGCCUCACCUCUUUAGAACGAUUGAUGGUUCAUUAUUGCCCUUAUCUGAGUUCUUCCACACAUUCUCUCAAAGCACUUCUAAUUCGGGGGUGCCCUGAUUUAUACUCCUGGAGAUGGAGGUAUUUGUUUUCCACUAUAGAAGAAUUGAAUGUUCAAAAUUGCCCUAAUAUGGAGGAUUUGCUGAAUCGCAUUGCUAAGAUGAUCAUUUCCCUCAAAACACUUAAGAUUUGUAAGUGCCCUGAAUUACAAGACUUGCCACAAAGGAUGGAUGGCCUUACCUCUUUACAAGUAUUGUCAAUCAGUGAAUGUCCCCGGUUGUCGGAAAGAUGUGAAAAGGAUACCGGAGUCCUGUGGCCUCGCAUUGCUCGCAUCCCAUCUAUUAUAAUCGAUGGGCGACAGAUUCAAUGAUGAUCAUACCAUAUAGGUAAUCACAUUUUUCUUCACCUCUAUUUAUAUUUUCUCCCUUUACUUGAUAAUUCUUUUUUUUUUCUCCAUGGAUUUGGAUGACUCGUAAUUUUUUGCAUGCAUGUAAUCCAAGUCGACCAUGAAAAAGUGGAUUUAAUCCAUUCUCUGCUACUUCUUUCUAAGUGGACUAACAAUAUUGAUUUCUUUUUUCUUUUCUUACUUUCAAUUUUUUUUGUUAAGUUAAAUAUUACUAAUAUGAAAUGUGACCCAAACUUGAUGUCAAAACUCUGCCAGUAUGUCACAGCAAUUAGGAACUUUUUCCUUGUUUCAAUCUCUCAUUCUUCAAUUAUAAUCCUAAAUUUGAAGCAUUCAGGAUCUUACUAGCUCUUGAUGGAACCCUUGUGCAUAUAGCAUAUUUAUAGUCAAAGCAUUAAAUCUUAUACUCUUAUAUAGACAAAUUUAAAAAAAUUACAGCAGUAUGAAUGUACUCAGUUAGCAAAUUAUUCUGAUUUUUCACUUUGUUAUAUCUAAAUGUCUCUUUUCACCUUUUUCAAUGAUGUUAAUCUGUGUUUGGAGGAUAUUUUUUAGGUUGACCAAAAAUUUGGGUUUUCUGUAAAAGGUUGUCAUAAGCUUUUUGUGCAGUGUUGAUGUAAUUGUUCAGUUAUCUUAUCAGCAGAGUUAGAAUGCCGACAAGAGUCCUUAACUGAUUAGAUCAUAGACUUUUGAUCUGAUAAUAUCAACAAAAUCAAAACUUUUCCAAAAAAAAAAAAGCAUAAGCAUAAAAUGGGCUUAUGGACAGAUUAUUGUCAGUUGUUUCACUUCCCCUAUUUUUAUGCAUUGAUCAAUGCAAAAUCAUCUCUUAUACAAUGAGGCAACCUUGGAUGUUUGUGUCAUAUCUUUACUGAAGCAAAACCAAAAUUUAAUGUGAACACUGGUGAAAUAAGCUGAGAUUUUAUAGGCACUUGCUUUUGUAAGGAAUAUGUUAACAUUAUUUCUUUCUUUUUUUCUACGUGUUUAUAAUGGGAUGAUGACAUUUUUUCAUUGUUUGAAGCAGGAAGAUUGCAUCUUGCUAAUUUCCUUCCAUAGCAGACUGUUGUUGAAUCGAAACUAAGAGAAAUUUCUAUUGGUAAAAUUUACCACUUAUUUGGUUUGUUUUACCAAUUUCAUUUACUUUCUAUAAGGAAUCCAUUAACACCCAACUUCUUACUUCUUUCUGCAUGUCUUUAUUGGGAUUAUGGACUUUUUUUGAUAGAUUGAGAGAGUAAGAAUUGAUUUCAGGUUGCCAAUGCCAUUGUGAAAAAGAGUACUACAAUACAUGGAUUGGAAGCUUUACUCUCAACAGCGUCAUCACUAUCUAUAUUACAGUUUGAUGGCAAUACUAUGUGAGAGUUAAAUUUUACUUUUGAGUAUUUGAAUUCAAUAAAGGCUAGCUCAUGAAAAUAAUUUAACAGCUUGACCUCUGGUGUCUUUUUAGAUGACAACAAUUGCAUAGCAUGCAGCUCCUUCACCUUUUCUUCCCAAAAAGUGAGACGUGAUCUAACGAUCUUGAAUUUAAGGUAAAUUAGCUUAUCACUUAUUGCUCUAUAGAAUUUACUGUGCAUAGAAUGUUGAAUAUUUUUUCACUACUAUAUCGUUAUAAGAUUUUCAUUUUCCAUAGAAAAAUAAGAGGUGUCAUGACUUGCUCACCAACUCCCUUUCGAGGCAUUCUUGAAAUGUAGGUAUAUUCUCAAAGCAUAUCUUUUGCAAAAGUGAUGACUAUAUAUUAUAGUUUCUUUAGUUUUUGUUCUUGAUUUUAUGCAUAUCUUGUUCCUCAACGCUUGGUUAUAACAAUGGAUUUUUUAGACUAGUUAUCUAUGAAUGGAGGCAAACAACACUUGCCAAGUGGUGGCUUGAGUGACUGGGAGAAUAGUCUGGAGCUGAGCUGGUUGGAAAACCCCUUUGCUUCUUUUAAAAUCAAUGUCAAUAAUUCCAUAUUGGCCAUUCUUGGAGGUCUUUAAAUUGUGGCUUCAAUUCUAGUCUGUGGGCCUCUACUUAAUUAACCCAAACUAUUAAGGGGACCUAAAUACAAAUGUUCUUUCCAAUGUAUAUGGAGAAGACUUUUGGGAUACUGUUCUGGGAUUUACUAUUUGCUACACUUGGGUGCUGCAAAGUGUCAAAGAAUUGUCAAUCAAAGAAUGUCCCCAGUUAUCAGAAAGAUGUUAAAAGGAGACAGAAAUCCUGUGGCCUCACAUUGCUCUCAUCUUGACUAUUUAUAUUGAUGGCCAACAGUUCAAUGAUGAUCAUACAAUAUAGGUAACCGUAUUUUUCUUCACCUCUGUUUAUAUUUUCUCCCUUUAUCUGAUAAUUCCUUCUUCUUUUUUUUUAUUUUUCUUCUGGGAUUUGAAUGAUUCAUACUUUGUUCUUUACAUGUAAUCCAAGUUGGUACACUGAUUCGCCUAUAAUUUGUACAGAUAGCAUACUUGUUGUGAAAGCAUUAAAUUUUAUACUCUUGUACAGAUAAACGUACUUAAGUUACCUAAUUAUUCUGAUUUUUCAUUUUGUUAUAUCAAUUCCUAACUUCUUCUGUUUAACAUAAGUAUAAAAUGGAGUUAUGGACAGAUUAUUGUUAGUUGUUUCACUUCCCCUAUUUUUAUGCAUCGAUUAAUGCAAAAUAUCUCUUAUACAAUGAGGCAACAUUGGAUGUUUGCGUCGUAUCUUUUCAGAAGCAAAACCAAAAUUAAAUGGAAAAGGAUCGCAAGACAGAUUGCUUCUAUCACAGAGAUUCUAAGUAAUUGAAACACUGGUGAAAUAAGCUGAGAUGUGAGAGUGAGUAUCCCUAAAAUUUACAGCUACAAGUUUGUUAGAGGGCUUAUCUCCAGUCAAGACUCCUAAGCUGAAAGCUAGUAAUAAGAGAAACUAACGUGAAUGUCUGCUUGUACAUUUCCUGCUGUAUUUGUUGUGAUGAGGAGAUAUUGCUAUAGGUAAUGUUUCUGCCUCUUCUACUUGAUGUAGGCACUUGCUUUUGUAAAGAAUAUAUUAACAUCAGUUCUUUCUUUUUGUUUGUGUUUAUAAUGGGAUGAUGACAUUAUUUCAUUAUUUGAAGCAGGAUGAUUUCAUCUUGCUAAUUUCCUUCCAGAGCAGACAGUUUUUGAAUUCAAACCAAGAGAAAUAUCUAUUGGUAAAAUUUACCACUUAUUCAGUUUGUCUUACUAAUUUCAUUUGCUUUCUAUAAGGAAUCCAUUGACACCUAACUUCAUACUUCUUUUUGGAUGUCUUUAUUGGGAUUAUGGACUUUUCCUGAUAGUUUGAGAAAGAACAUACAGAUUUCAACUUGCCAAUGCCAUUGUGAAGUAUAGUUAAAUUUUACUCUCAACAGCAUCAUCACUAUCUAUGUGAGAGUUAAAUUUUGCUUUGAGUAUUUAAAUUCAAUAAAGGCUAACAGAUGAAAAUAAUUGAACAGCUUGACCUCUGGUUUCUUUUUUAGGUAACAAAGGCUACACAACAUGCAACUCUUUCACCUUCUCUUAUCAAGAAGUGAGCCUUGAUCUAACGAUCUUGAAUUCAAGGUUAAUUGGCUUUUCAUUUACUGCUAUAUUUUAUAUGAGGAAUGUGCCGUGUAUAGAGCCCUCAAUAUUUUUGCAUUGCUCUAGCAUUUAAGAUUUUCGUUUUCCAUAUUAAAAGAAGAGAUGCCAAUGACUUGCCCGGCAACUCCCUUCCAGCCAUUUUUGAAAUGCAAGUAUUCUCAAAGCAUUAUCUAUUGCAUACAUGAUUCUAUAUGUUGAAGUUUCUUUAGUUUUUGUUCUUAUUUUUUGGCAUAUCUUUAUCCUCAAUGCUUCUUUAUAACAAUGGUUUUUUUGACUAGUUAGUUGUGAAUGGAGUCAACCAACGCUUGCUAAGUAGUGGCUUGAGUGGUUGGGAGAAGUGCCUGGAGAGCUAAGCUGGUUGGAAAAACCCUUUGCUUCUUUCAAAUUCAAUGUGAAUGGUUCCAUCUUGGCCAUUCUUGGAGGUGUUUGAGCGGUGGCUUCAAUUCUAUUCUUUAGGCAUUUACUUAUUUAACCCAAACUGUUAAAGAGGACUUAAAUACAAAGGUUCUUUCAUAAUGUACAUAUGGAGAAGACUUUUUGGGCGUCUGAGUCUGAAGAACAUUAAGGAUUUAGAAGUUUUGCCAGAAGAGUUCCUACUGCUGUACUGCCUUAAAUUGGAAUUGCUACUGCCUUAAAAGCAUUGUCCGUAAGCAAUUGUCCUAAUCUGAGGGCUUUGCCAGACUGGAUACCUAAUAUCACUUCCCUUAAAACACUUGAAAUUUGGAAGUGCCUUAAAUUACAAUACAUGCCAGAAGGUACGCCUCGGCUUACAUCUUUAGAAGAAUUAUGUGUUUACUGCCAUAAUUUGAGGCUUUGCCAGACUGGAUACUCAAUCUCACUUCCCUCAAAGACCUUUAUGUAUGUGAGUGCCUUCAUUCACCGUACUUGCAAGAAAGGAUGCAAAGCCUUACCUCUUUAGAAUGAUUGAUGGUUGAAUAUUGCCCUAAUCUGAGUUCAUCCACACAUUCUCUCAAAGCACUUCUAAUUCGGGGGUGCUCUGAUUUAAGCUAGAGCAAAGUCUCUUUAUUGUUUAGUGUUGCUUCUAAACUAGAGCAACUAUUUCGGGGAUGAAGAGAAAUAAUAGUGCUCUGUACUGUCACUGAUUUAGGAGCAAACACGUAAGGUCAAUUUUGCAUUAGUUAGAAUUUCAAUUACUCAAAAGAAACAAGUGAAGCUCUGUGAAAUUAAAUGAUGUUUGGUCCCUUGUCUUGCACUUACGUCCAUGCAAGUCCAAUCCUCUUACCGUAACACUUCCCGGAAAGCCAACCAGGGUCCUUAACAGAGCAUCUGACACAGACUUCUUCCUUGAGAAUUCAGUCUCUAGUAAUGGCGGUAAGUGCCUUACUGUCCAACAACUAAAAAGUAAAAGUAGUGGACAUUUACGAAAAUUUGUCCAUGAUGAUUUAGCCAGGCAACAAUGAGGUAGCUCAUUACUCAUUACUAUAAGAAAAUUUACCAAGUAAUGCUUAAUUGCAAAAGAAUCAUAAAUAGGGAUCUAAUUGUUUGCUCUUAAUGAAAUAAUAAUUGUAAUAUUUACUUACAAUGAGAAUCAAGUGCUUUCCAAAUAAAUCAACCAAAUAGGUAAGAAAUAAAUACCUAAAAAUAAUUGAAAAAUGAUAAAAAUAAAGAGAUCAAUAAUUCAAAAGUGCAUCAAUGAUUUCACGUCCCAUUUGGAUAGGAGCUCAAAGAAAAAUAAUUAAAAGUGUGAACUUAAUUUCAUUUUGAAUAAUGGUAAAUUUUGUUUAGGGUUCUUUUAAAAAAAAAUUGUUUAGGGAAAAAUAAUGCUUCAUUUAAGUAAUUCAAUUUCUUGAAAAUCUUAUGGAGAAGACAUUAUAUUAUGUUUAAGGUCACAAACAUAAAACCAAUUUUACAGAAUUAAAAUUAUCUUUAAUGGAGUACCUCCCGUCCUUUAUCUUUUUCUUUGAGAGAGAAUUUAGUUAAUAAUACUUCUUCGAUGACAUUGCAAUCUCCAUUAAUGGAGGUAAUAAUGUUGUGUUCAAUUCAAUCAUGAAUAAAAAAUUAUGCUUAAUGAGGCUACAAAUGACCAAAGGUUUCCCCAUAACAAGGAAAAAACAAUUGACUGCACUUUUUUCAACAUUUUUUAGCUUAGUUUUUCUCAAUGCUGGUCAUUUUUUUAAUUGAAAUUAUAAAAACCAGGACAACAAGAACAAAAAAGAGACCAAGGAAAACCAAGACGCUAGCCAAGUAUGAUUACUACAUUUGGUUUUCUGCAACUUAUCUUUGCCUACAAAUCAUCAUGGAGGCAGAACCAAAUAAAGAUAUGAAUUAUUGGAAUGAUAGCGGGCUAGAUAGUUUUACUUGAAGAAUAAGAUGGUGCCUCAAUUCUUGGCCUUAGCUCCAAGACCGGCCUUGAUCUUCUGAACGGUAGUGACAUCAGUUUUAUAGCCUUUGGCUAGGACAUCUUCACCAAUGCCAGUGGCAAAAACAGUGGAUGGAAUAGAAACAGUUCCAGCAUCUGCACUGCCAAAGCAAGAAACGGCCAUGGCAGGUUUAUCAUAGCUGGGAUUGUAUUAGUAAUGAACCAGUCCCUUCGGAUACAAAACUAGGAUUGUAUUGGUAUAAACUGAGAAGUCUCUUUAUAGUUAGUGAUGCUCUGCCAAAACUAGAAAUAAUCCCAGUUGAAGGUGCUUCUAAACUGCAGCAACUAUUUGGGGUUACGAGAAAUAGCAGUGCUCUGCACUAUCACUGAUGUUUGGAUAAGAAUAAAACAAAUUAAAAAAAGAAUAGUCAGAGAUUUGAAGCAGAAUUUCAACAAUUGUGGCUAGUUGAAAAUUCCCAAUACAUUUACAUCAUGGCAAGUCCCAUCCUCUUGCCACAGCACUUCCUGGAAACCCAACCAGGGUCCUUAACAGAGGAUCUAAAUCUGACAGAGAUUAUCACAAUUACUGGGCCAUCUACUGGACUGAGAAAAGGUUACUUAAUUAGUGGCACUCCCUAAAUCUUCAUAACAAUAAGUUGGAGGUGUUAUAUUCUAUUCAUUCCCAUAAAUAACGCCAUUUCCACUCCAAGAAUCAACACUCAUCACUACACCAUAUAUAUGAAUUAGAAAAUUUUUUGUUCACUAAAAUUUGUCCAUGAUGAUUUAGCCGGUACCAUGUUUACAAAAAGCUUCUAAAUGUAACUCCUUUCUUGUUACUAGAAGACAAUCUAUAAAUAAAAUUUAUAAAUAGAAUUUUUUUUAAAUAGUUAAUUAACCACGUAAUGCUUAAUUACAAAAGAAUUUAUAAAUAGGAAUCUAAGUGUUUACUCUUAAGGAUAUUUACAAAAUAAUAAUAGUAAUUUUUAUUUACAAGAAAAAUCAAGUGUUUUUCAUGUAAACCAACCAAGUAGGUUAGAAAUAAAUACCCAAAAAUAAUUGAAAAGUGAUAAAAAUAAAGAGAUUAAUAAUUCAGAAUUGCAUCAAUGAUUUCAUAUCUCAUUUAAAUAGGAGCACAAAGAAAAAAAUUUAGAAGUGUGAACUUAAUUCCUUUUGUAUAGUGGUAAAUUUUUUUUAGGAAAAAUUUAUACUUCAUUAAAAUAAUUCAAUUUCCUGAAAAUCUUAUGGAGAAGACAUUAUUAUGUUUAAGGUCACAAACAUGAAGUCAAUUUUACAAGAGUUUGAAUUUUCUUUAAUAGAUCAAUAACUCCCUUCUUUUUUUUUCUUUGAGAGUCAAUGACAUAUUGCACUCUCCAUUAAUGGAGACAGAAAUAUUUUGUUCAAUUCAAUCAUGAAUAAAAAAACUCCGAGAAAGCUCCAAGAAUCUCUAUUUUACUUUAGUAAAGUCAGUUACCACAUUAGACAUUAUUCUUUUAAGACAAAAGACAAGUCCUAAUUCCAAUUCUUUGUUAACUUUGAAGUAGAGAUAGUAAGUUAAGUGACUAAUAACCAAAGAUUUCUCACAAAACUUUCCUAAACACUUUUUAGCUUAGUUUUCCUCAAUGCUGGUCACCUUUUCAAAUUGAAAUUUCUCGUAGAGAUGAUUGAUGUCAUUAUCUAUCUCCCUUUAAUAAUCUAAUGAUCAACACCUAUAGAAAAAAAAAAAAAGAAAAGCAAAAGUGAGACCAAUAAUUCUAUAAAGCAAAAGAUAUUUGGGUCUAUUGUUAUUUAAAUAAAAAAAACAAUUAAAGAAAGACUUGGAAGAAUACAAAAUCCUUGCUGCAAUUUUUUUUGAAUAAUAAAAUAAAAAUAGUUCAAAAGUGAAUCAAUAAUUCCAUGUUGCACUAGCAAAAGUUGUGGGGGUUGGGAUUACCUUUUGAAUAAUGGUAAAUUUUACAUUAUUAUGUUUAGGAUCACAAAUAUGAAGUCAAUUUUACAUUAAUUAGUUAAAAUGUCCUUAACAGAACAUAUCCAUCAUUAUUUUUUUAGAAAGAGAAUUAGUCAAAAUUACUUUUUCAAUAACAAUACACUCUCCAUUAAUAGUAGCAUUAAUAUUUUGUUCAAUUUAACCAUGAAUAAAAAUAUCUAGAAAAAUUUCGAGAAUCUCCCUUUUAAUUUGAUAAAUUCAGUUUCAGGAUUAAACUUAAUUCUUUCGAGUAAGAGUCGUAAAGCAAAAGAUGUUUGGUUUCAUUGUUAUUUGAAUAAAAGAAAAAAUGAUAGUAAAAAAAGAGACUAAAAAAUAAACCAAUAAUUCAAAAGUAAUCAUGAUUUUCAAAGUGUGAACCCACUAUCACAUGUUCUUUGGGGAAGAAGAGAACGGGGAAUAUUCAUUUUCAGAAGUUUCCUAUACACUAACAUCCUCGCAAGUCCCAUCCUCUUUCCAUAACACUUCCUGGAAACACAAGCAGGGUCCUUAACAGAACAUCUGAGACAGAAUCUUCAAAGUUUAUUAAUUUUCUAUACCUACGUAGUCUUUAUUACUUCAUCCUCAUACAGUUCCCAUUCAAGCAUCUUCUUCUAUCAUCUGCACUAUCCCAAGAGUUUGUUUGAUUUCUGCAUGCCUUGCUCUUCUUUUUACUCAAAAAGACCUACUCUUCCAUUUUAUUUUCCAUCAUUUUCCCACUUUUCUUUUAAUUCAUCUCCGUUAUUUAACUCUGAAAAAAAAAAAAAACAGUUCUCGUAAAUUACUUUUGUUUAAGCCCUUCUACUUUUCCUUUCCUUAAAACAAUUCUCCGGAAUUGGUGAAGUAAUUCUAUCCCAAUUGAGGUAAGCUUCAACAAAAGAUAUUAUAUUCUUCAUAUUUAAUUUUUUUUAUAAGCUCAAUUUCUCAUUCACUUAUGAGUUUGACUUCUUAUUAUAAAUUUUCAUUUUUUUCCAUUUUUACUGACAUUUAUGGAUAUUUUGGGAAAGUAUUAUUUUGAAUGAUAAUACUAUGCUUUUACUUUAAUAUGAAAAUAUAUUGUUUAAGUAAUAUACACAUGACCAGUGACUACAUUGCAGCAUUUUCAAUUUCCAAGUUUAUCGGUCAACAAUCCUUUCUCUUGUGAUCCACAUUUUCAUAAAGAUAAGGUACUUUGCCAACAUGUUGUAAUUGUUUUUGUCUUUCUGUAAAACUUUUUACUCAUCAAAAUUAAAAUUAGGUAGAUUUUUAUUUUAUGAUGGUUUCCAGUGAUCGUUAAUUAAAAUAUAUAACAUGUUUUAAUAAUUGAAGAUUUUGGAGUUUGAGAUAUUAAUAUUACUUGUUAUUAACAGUAAUUUUUUUUAUAAAUAAAAGCAAAAAGAAAAGAUGAGGCCCAAUAUUUCCAUAAGGUAAAAGAUUUGGGUCCUCGUCCUCCAUUAAGGACUUGAAAUUGAAAGAGAAAAAGAGAUGUAUAAUUUUGAAAAUAAAUAUUAAAAAAUAUUAAUAGCUAAUUAGAGAAAUAUCAUGGGGGUAGAAUCAAAUAAAAAUAUGAAUUAUUGCAAUGGUAGCCUCCGUCAAUGUGGCCUUGAUCUUCUGAACACACAAUCCAAAACAUAUUCCAGUAGAUAGAUUUUUAAGUCUAAGAUUAAUUAUGAACACACACGUUUGCAAUUUGCAUUGAAUAUUCCUACCAAAAAUAUUGAAAGAUAUUCUUAAGCUUCUUUUUAUUGUUUUUUUUUGGGUACAAUUAUUUGUUUUUUAUUUCUUAGAAAGUUAAGUGAGAAACAAAUGACAAAAAAGUGAAAUCCUAAUUAAUUAAAAAAGAGUAAACGAGUAAGGUAAAAAAAAUAAUAAAUGAUAAAAUUAUAUCAAACCUAAAAAGAUCCAAUUUAUUAUUUAGAAUAUUAUAUUAAACCUAAAAUAAAUAAAUGACCCAACUUUUUCAUUUGAAGCUCAGCAGAACAAGGGUGGAUGUGAGGUGGGUUGAGGGUGCCUGCUGCAGGGUACUCCAAAGUGGCAAAGGAGACACCAUGGCCAUUGAGGGCAGGGAACUCCAUCAUGCUAGCUUUGUAACCUAAUACUAUAACUUUUUCCAAGUCACUUUAGGUUUUAUAUAUUUUAACGAUUCUUUUUCCCUUUGGAUAGUACCUUGGACUGUUGUAAUUAUCACCAACAUCAAAUGUGAUUUUGAAUCAGGUAAAGAAGGCAAAGGGGGGAUGGUCCUACAUUUUUCUACUUUUUGUUUAUGAUCAGAAGAAACUGCUUGCAUUGAUAAUUCUCCAGCAGAUCGCUGUUGUUUGGACAGCAAGAGAAAAGGGCAGCUCACUGAGCAUGCCACUGUCAUGGGCCCCUCUUAUUUACUCUUUCAACCACAUUCAUUCAAAGUCUAUUCCUAAGCUGUCCUGUCACUCACCCAAUAAUUCAACUCUCCUUCAAUUGAACCAACUUUUUGCUUUGUGCACAUGUAUCCUUCUUUACUUACAACGUCAAGAAAUUUCUUAAACAAUAAAAACAAAACGAUAUUAAUUUAUCUAUAUUAUCAACAUUUAUCUUUAUAAACUUAAGUUUUUGACUACGAUGUUAAGUUUGCUUGCGCUCCUGUUAUCUGCUUUAGAUUCAUUCCAACCAAGUUGAAUAUCCAUGGCGGAAGUAAUUCCAUACGGGGCAGUCAGUAACAUCGUGUUGAGUUUCCUGGCAAGUCCCAUCCUCUUGCCGUAACACUUCCUGGAAAGCCAAGCAGGGUCCUUGAUAGAACAUCCGAGAGGGAAUCAGUCAAAGUUUAUUAAUUAUCUAUACCGACUCUCGUCCUAUUGUAGCUGGGACUCAAUUAAAGGAUAGAGAACAAAAUUAAUUAAUUAAAAUAUGAAGUUAAUUUUAUAUUAAUUAGUUAAAAUUUUCUUUAACAGAAUAUAUUCAUCAUUAUUUUCUAUAUAAAGAGAAUUAAUCAAAAAUACUUUUUUAAUGACAAUACAAACUUCAUUAAUGAUGACAUUAAUAUUAUAUUCAAUUUAACCAUGAAUCAAAAAUAUUCAAAAAAGUUUUGAGAAUCUUCCUUAUAAUUUGAUAAAUUCAAUUUUCCAAUUGUGGACCCAUUAUCACGUGUUCUUUGGGGAAGGAAAAGGAAGAGGUGGAGAAAGGGGAUUCAUUUUCAAAAGUUUCCUGGACACUGCGAUCCACUCAUGUCCCAUCCUCUUUCCAUAACACCUCCUGAAAACACAAGCAGAACAUCUGAGGCCGAAUCAUCAAAGUUUAAUAAUUUUCGAUACCUACUCUUAUUACUUCAUCCUCAUACAGUUCCCAUUCAAGCAUCUUCUUUUAUCAUCUGCACUAUCCCAAGAGUUAGUUUGAUUUCUACAUGCCUUGCUCUUCUUUUUACUCAACAAGUCCUACUCUUCCAUUUUACUUUCCUCCAUUUUCCCACUUUUCUUUUAACUCCGAGAACAAAAGCAUCUCUGUUGUUUAACUCUACAAAAAAAAAAAACAACAACAGUUCUCUUAGAUUAUUUUUGUUUGAUCCUUGUUAGCUACUCUUCCUUUCCUUAAUUUUGGUUUCCCUAUCUCCGGAUUUGGUGAAGUAAUUCCAUCCCAAUUGAGGUAAGCUUCAAUAAAAUAUAUUAUAUUCUUCAUAUUUAAUUUUUUUAUGCUCAAUUUCUCUUUCACUUAUGAAUUUGACUUUUUAUUAUAAUUUUUUAUUUAUUAUAAAUGUUCAUUUUUUUCCAUUUUUACGGACAUAUAUGGAUACUUUGGAAAAGCAUUGUAUAGAAUGAUGACACUAUGCUUUGACUUUAAUAUAAAAAAAUAUUUUUAAUUAAUAUACACAUGAUUAGUGACAAGAAUUUUUAUUUCUGCAGUAUUUUCGAUUUCCAAGUUGGUCAGUCAGCAAUCUAUUCUCUGGUGAUUCACAUUUUCAUAAAGGUAAAGUGCUUUACAAACAUUUUUUCUCUCUGCAAAGCUUUUUACUCUCUAAAAUUAAAACCAAGCAUAUUUUUAUUUUAUGAAAGUUUCAAGUGAUCUUUAAUUAAAAUAUAUAACACGUUUUAAUAACUUAAAAUUUUGAAGCUUGAAAUAUUAAUAUUACUUAUUAAUUAAUAACAAUAAUUUUUUUAUAUAAAAAAUGGAAAAGGGGAAGUCAGUAGUUUCCUAAGACAAACGAUUUGAGCACUUGUCUUCCGCUAAAAUUUUGAAAUUGAAUAAGAAAAGUAUUUAUAUUUAUGUACUAACCGUAUAUAGUUUUUAAAAUAAAUAUUAAAAAAAUAUUAAUAAUUAAUUAGAGAAAUAUCAUAGUGGCAAAAUCAAAUAAAAAUAUAAAUUAUUGCAAUGGUAGCCCAUUUUUGGUACUUCAAUUUUUGGCCUUGAUCUUCUGAACAAAACAUAUUCCAGUGGAUAGAUUUCCAAGUCUAAGAUUAACUAUGAACACACCUUCGCAAUUUGCAUUGCACAUUCCUACCAAAAAUAUUAAAAAAUAUUCUUAAGCUUCCUUUUAUAGUUUGAUUUUUUUUUUUACUUUUUUUUACAACCACUUUUUUAUUUCUUAAAAAGUUACGUGAGAAAUACAUGACAAAAAAGUGAAAUGACAAAUUAAUUAAAAAUGAGUAAAUGAUUAGGGUAAAAAUAAAUAAAUAAAUGAUAAAAUUGUAUUAAAACUAAAGAGAUCUAUUUCAUUAUUUAGAAUAUUAUAUAUAUAUAUAUAUAUAUACAUUUAAUUUAUCAAAACUUAUUAUGAUUUAUUCCAACAUGCUUAUCAGGUGAAGUCCGUUAAGUCUUUCAUUACCGUGUUAGUUUGCUUGCAUUUCCCUGUCAUCUGCUUUAGAUUCAUUUCAACCAAGUUGUAGAUCCAUGGCGGAAUCAAUUUUAUUCGGGGCGCUCGCUAACAUCCUUUCCAAGUUGACGUGGCUUGCUGGGCAAAAGAUUGGCCUGAUUUUCUGGCAGAAAAGCGAACUGGAUAAGCUUAGAAAGACUCUCGACAUCGUAAAAGCCGUCAUUCUUGAUGCUGAGAAGAAGCAGGAGAGCAACCAUGUCGUGGAACAGUGGAUAAUUCGACUGGAAGAUGUCGUCUCUGAUGCAGAGGACUUACUGGACGAAUUCGACUAUGAGAUCCUGCGCCAGAAGGUACGUCCUCGGGGACAGGUACGCAAGAUCUUUCGAUCCUUCAGGAUGGGUCCUAGAGUUAAGGAGAUUAGAGAGAGGCUGGACGUGGUUGCAAGAGAGAUUUCUAAGUUUGAUUUUAGUCGGAGAGUUGUAGAACUGGAUAAGAAACCUAAGAAUGCUGACAGGGAGACUGCCGCAAAGGUGAGACCGGAAUUAGUAAUAGGGAGAGAGAAAGAUAAAGAGCACAUUAUAGAAUUGUUAAAGGAGCAAAAUCAUGGUGACAACAUCUUCAAUAUUAUUGCCAUUGUUGGGUUUGGAGGUUUAGGAAAGACCUCGCUUGCCCGGUUGGUGUAUAACGAUGCACAAGUAGCAAAUUCCUUCAAAGGGAUAUGGGUGUGUGUUUCUGAGGAAUUUAAUGUUCUUAUAAUUUUCAAAAAAAUUUUGAAGUGUCUAGGAGAAGACAAAGUGGAUGACUGGAAUCUAAAUGAGGUGCAAAAAAAAAUUGAACAAAAGUUAGAAGGGAAGAGAUAUUUACUUGUGUUGGAUGAUGUGUGGAACGAAGACAUUUUAAAGUGGAAUGAUUUUUCACAGUAUCUAGUGUUUGGUGCAUCCGGAAGCAAAAUUAUUGUGACAACUCGUAGCACCAAAGUUGCAGCUACUAUGGGGGUACACAGUCCUUACCUUUUAAAAGGUCUCAAUGAGGAACAAUCUCAGGAUUUGUUUGAGAAAGUGGCAUUUGAAGGACGUCAAAUCGAUCCAAAGCUUGGACAAAUUGGAAACGUUGUUGCACAAAAAUGCAAAGGAGUUCCUCUUUCUAUUAAAUGUUUAGGAGGUUUGAUGAGACAAAAGCCUGAUGAAAAAUACUGGUUGUUUAUCCAAGAAAAUGAAAUUUGGAAUAAUGAUGUUGUUUUGUCGGUGUUAAGAUUGAGUUACAAUCAGCUACCAAGUAAUUUAAAACAAUGUUUUGCUUUUUGUUCGCUUUUCUCAAAAGACUCUACGAUAUAUAAAGAUGAGUUGAUUCAUUUUUGGCGAGCACAAGGUUACAUUCAAUUAGGGAAUAAAAAACAGAAUAUACAAGACAUUGGUGAUGAAUACUUUAAUGAUUUGCUGUCAAGAUCAUUUUUUCAAGAGGAGGAGGAAGAUAUGGAAGGGAAUAUUUUUUGCAAAAUGCAUGAUCUUAUUCAUGAUCUUGCAUUAUCAGUAACAGGUCAUCAUUUUCAUUGGAUGAAAGAUGAAAAAGAAGAAAUUCCAAAAGAAGUCCGUCACGUGUCAUUAGAAAAAUAUUUCAAAGAAGUUGAUUUGAUUUUGUCGAAAAUAAAGGGGAUAAGGACUCUGUUUUUUCAAACAAGUUUCUUCAAGGAUUUAUUCAUUCGAAAUGUAAUUUUUUCGAACUUCAAUUGUUUACGUAUGUUGAAUUUAAGUUGGAUGAGCAUUGAUAUUUUAUCAGAUUCAAUUGGUGAAUUGAAGCAUUUGAGAUACCUUGAUCUUUCUGUUAAUCAAAGGAUGAAAGUGCUCCCAGAUGCAAUAGUCAAAUUGCACCAUUUGCAAACUCUAUUACUCAAUGCUUGCAGCAGUCUGGAAAAGUUACCAAGGGAUAUACGCCAAUUGAUUAGUUUGGAAUAUCUCAAUAUUAAUUCUUGCAACCGACUAAAGUACUUGCCAAAAGGGUUAGGGGAAUUGACUUCUUUACAAAGAUUGGACAGAUUUGUUGUGAACUGUGUUGAAGACAAUUUAUCAACUGCAGCCACGUUGAAUGAGUUGAGUAACCUAGACCUUGGAAGCUGCUUAAAAAUUGAACACUUAGAAAAGGUGAGGAAUGUGGAAUUAGAAUGUAAGGAGGCAAAUUUAAAGAAAAAUAAACGACUUCAGUCUUUGCAAUUAUCUUGGGAAUCUUUCUCUCCAACAACAGUGGCUAGUGAAAAGGAUGAGUCAUUGUUAAAUAUUCUUGAGCCACACCCGAAUUUGAAAGGGCUGAAGGUAUCCGGUUAUGGAGGAGCAAGGUUUUCGAGUUGGCUAUCUUCAUUGACUAAUUUAGUCCAACUUGAUAUAAACAAAUUUUGGAAUUGUCGAGACCUGCCACCCUUGGAUCAUUUUUCAUCUCUCAAGUCUCUCAGUCUUUAUCGUUCCAAUGCUUUAAAACACCUGCCAUCCUUGGAUCAUCUUUCAUCUCUCGAGUCUCUUUCUCUUGACCAGUUAGAUGCUUUAGAAUACGUGGCAGAUUCUUUUUCCUUGCCUUGCUCCACUUCAAGAGAACCAUUCUUCCUGUCCCUUAAGAAACUUUCAAUCUAUAAUUGUCCCAAUCUCAAAGGAUGGUGGAAGACAAAGAAUGAGAACCAAGGAUCAAUCGCUGAGCUGCCUUGCUUUCCUUGCCUUUUCCGGUUAAAAGUCCAAAAUUCCGGAAACUUAACCUCCAUGCCGCUGUUUCCAUCUCUCGACCAAGAUUUGACUUUGGAAGGUACUAGUAUAAGGCCUUUUCAACAAACAUUGAAGAUGAAGAUGACCGAGGCUAGCAUGAGAUCAGAAGAAGCAUCAUCAUCAUCAGGGAGCACUUGUCAUUCUUAUUCUUCAACUGCCCUUCCUCUCUCCAAUUUGAAGCAUCUGACUCUUUUUAAGAUUAAGGAUUUAGAAGCUCUGCCAAAAGAGUUCCUACAAAAUCUCGCUUCUCUUACAUUCGUAAGAUUGAAAGAUUGCCCUAAAUUGGAAUCGCUGCCAUCGCAAAAGAUGAGCUGCCUCACCUCUUUACAAGACUUGCUGGUUGAAAAUUGCUCUAAUCUGAGGGCUUUGCCGGAUUGGAUACUCAAUCUCACUUCCCUUGAAACACUUCAAAUUUGGAACUGCCUUGAAUUACAGCACAUGCCAAGAGGGACGCAUCAGCUUACCUCUUUAAAAAAAUUAUCCGUUGAAAAUUGCCCUAAUUUGAGGGCUUUGCCGGAU
rnacentral:lncRNA from 1 species